UUGGAGGAACUAUUGGUCAUUUAAAGGACUAAUUGAAGACAUUCUGUAGGUCAAGUCUGCCCGGAGCUGAGGGAGUUGCGCAGACAGGUGGUCCUCCGCGCCGGUUUGCAAUUCGGCCCCUGGAAGCAGCGGGAGACGUCGAAGGAGGCGAGAAGGUGCGUGCGCGCCUCAGCAGGCCCGCGGAUGCUGGGUGGUAUCAAGGAGGCGCUCAGAUCGCUGGAGCUGGAGCCCAGCCGGGGGUCUUUUGCGGGACCCGCACCCACCCCGGAGCAUCUUUGGCCCUGUUUCACUGAACUCGCCUUCCUCAUCAGGAAAGUGGGAAGACCGCUCACCUCCAGGACGGUGUGGGAUGGGGAAGAGGGAGCAGGGAGAGGCUGCGGAAUGCGCGGCGCAUACGCUAGCUGGCAUCACCGGGGAUUCCCGCGGGCUCGGUGGGACUCCGGGGCGCUGGCAGCGAGGACCCCCAGCCCAGUCUGGGCCCUCGGCGGCCUCAGUGGCCCAGGCCCGCCUGGCCUCCGCCCGCGGCCCUCCCCUGGGCUGCCGGGAAGCGGGCAGAGGGGCGCACUGGGCAGCGGGCAGGGACCCGGGGACGGCCGGGAGCGCGGGGACCCAGGACGCACGGGGCGGGCCGGGUGGCGCGCGCCUCGCGCCUUCCCCCUCCCCCGCGGCCCGAGCGCGAGCCGCCGUGACGUCACGGGCCACCCGCCAGCCCCGCGCUCCUCCGGGCAGAGCGCGUGUGGCCGCCGAGCACAUGGGCCCGCGGGCCGGGCGGGCUCGGGGCGGCCAGGACGAGGAGGGGCGGCGAGGAGCUGCGGGCGAGGAUGUGCCCCGGGACCCCUGGCACCUUCCAGUGGAUUUCCUUGCGCAAGGGAUGUGGUCGGCCCCGGUGACCUGUGGAGACCCGUCCAGAUCUGCCCUCCGAUCCUUCUGGCUGCUGUGUUGAAAGUGGGCUGGAAGUGGCAAAGGUGGAAAGACAGGCCGAUCAGGAGGCUGUUGUGGAAAUCCAGCGUGUGGCAGGAAUCCUGGCCUGGGGCAAGCAGAGGAGACGAAGGACAGAAUAACGGACUCCUAGAUUACCAAGCCCCACCCAGAGGAUCACCCCAGGAGCCCUUGGAGGCUGAGGAGCUCACUGAGACUGGUGCAUCUGGAGACUCCAGGAUGAAGACCCAGCUUGGGGCUGUCAAAGGUGCAACCUGCCAGCUGAGCUCUCCACGGGUUGAGUCCGGUCCCCUUUGCCUUGUUCAUGGCUUAGGACAGUGCUUAGCAUGUAGUAAAAAACUUGAAAAUAUUUGUUAGAGGGUGUACAGUGGGUCAUCUCUUCUGAACGGCACACUGUCCACUGUCAUUGUCCUCAGAGGCUCCAGCCUCAGGUGCUUCUUAAACUGCAGUGUGGAUGAUGGCAGCAGGUAGGUCCACGGCUCAGUGUGAGAGCUCACAGCAGGCGCUGCUCCACCCCACCCAGGCCCCAGUCUUGCUGUGUUUUCUCUGCCUCCCUAGGCUGGCCUAGAAACUGCUUCCAACUGAAGCCAGCCAACAUGCCUGCCCCUAACCUCACCUAAAACUCUAGGGUCACCUUUAGUCUAGAUAGGUGUCCUUAAACUACAGCCUUUGCCGGGCGCGGUGGCUCAUGCCUGUAAUCCCAGAACUUUGGGAGGCUGAGACAGGUGGAUUACUUGAGGUCAGAAGUUCAAGAUCAGCCUGGCCAACAUGGCAAAACCCCAUCUCUAUGAAAAAUACAAAAAUUAGCCGGGCAUGGUGGUGCACACCUGUAAUCCCACCUACUCGGGAGGCUGAGGCAGGAGAAUUGCUUGAAUCCAGGAGGCAGAGGUUGCAGGGAUCCUGAGAUUGCACCACUGAACUCUAGCCUGGUGACAGAGUGAGACUCUGUCUCAAAAAACAAAAACAAAAAGCUACAGCCUUUGGGCUAAACCUGAUCAGUGAUCUGUGCUUGUAAGAGCUCUGAGUUAAGAACAAUUUUUAUGUCUCUAAAGGCUUGAAGUAUGCAAAAAGAAUAUUCAACAGAAGCUAUCUGGCUAGCAAAGCCUAAAGUAUUGACCCUCCGGCCCCUUUACAGAAAAGGUGUGCCAGUCGCUGGAUUAGGCACUGCCGACCACACACCAUGCUCCCUGUGAAAACUUCAAGCACACGGACUCAUUUCCUUUCUCUUAUCAACACUGAGGCAGGUGUGAUUAUCUUUCCUUGUAACAAUGAAGAAACUAAGGCAUGGAGUGGUUUAACUCAUUUACCUGAGAAUCUAUUAAGUAACAGAGCCAGGAUUCACACCCAGGCAGUCCAGCUUCAGAGUCCCUGCUUCUUAACUGGCAUACCACUUGACCUCUGAAUAUGGCUGUGAUCAAGUUUUAUGACUCUCCCUUGCUUAGCUGCUCUCUGGGCUGUGAGUGUAGGGAUAAGCUUCAGACAAGAACUCCCCUCUUAGUUUCUGUCCUCUAUUGCCCCACAGCCAGUGGACAGGCGUUUUGCACCCCAGCCUGUCCCCAGCCAGCUCCUCCUCAGCAAUUUCCUGCAGGGACUUAGAUGGGGCUCUGGGACCACCCUCCCUUUCUGCCCCACCUGGCACCUGGAAGUCUGCUUGAUUCUGCUCCCUCUGAGUCUGGACACAUCUCCAUGAGCUAGGCCUGAAGGUAUUCCCCUCUCUGGACCUUGGGGCCUCCCUUUUUAGGGGCAGUUCCUGGGUCCCCUCUCCUCUCUGCCUUCCCCACCUCCCACCGUGUCCUUCCAAUAAGGGGCUGGAUUUGUAGCAUGCAGCCUUGGGAACAGGACUGGGCUCAGGGUCUCUGGCUGACCUGCUCCCAUCCCCAGGAGGAGAAGCUGCUGUGUUUAGAGUGUCACAACAAACAGUGCCGGAGGCUUCAGUAACCAGGGGUGAUGCUGAACUUUAAGGCUGAGCAAAUGCGAUGGUGCCUCUGUGAUCAACACACCUGACAAAGAAGUAAAGGAAGGGGUGAGACUGGAAAGAUAGCUGCCAAGGGAAACAGAGCUUUUCAAGUCACUCUGUCCCUUCCCCACUUCACCAUCAAGGCUAAGACUAAACCUCACCAUCCAGUUGCGGGCCCCUCAGUCCUGGGGGUGGACAUUAGUGAAGGUAGAGAGGCCAUGUUCUGGCUGUGUGACCUUGCACAGGUUACGAAGCCCUUUGUAUCUCACUUUCCUUGUUUUUAAAAUGAUGAUGAUGAUGACUUAUAUUAGAAAUAAUAUAAAGGGCAGGAUCUUAUAUUAGAAAUAAUACGGUUCCUGGCGCAUUGCUCAGUGUGAAAUUGUCUUCUGCCUGCUACCCUUCAUCAGUCCUCACCUCCUCUGCAGAGGUUUCUUCCAUGUUGAGGUUGAGCAAACUGGCAGCACCUAACUUCCUGCUGGGUGCAUCCCUAGUGCCUUCUGCCCAGGCCUCAGGACCUCCAGGGAUCCUGGCCCCUUUGGACAGGGACUUUUGUGCCCUCCUUCUCUUUUAUCCAGCAAGAGUGAGUCCUGCACGGAAUUUCCAUGGGAUCAUUGCUUGCUAACACUUGUGAGUGAGUCACUGUCUAGAAAGCAGCUUUUCUGACCUUUUCCCAUUAAUUUCACAAAAGUUAUCCCCCUUUGCCCUUACUACAGCCCUGUGAGAGGUUCAUUACCCCACAUCAGAGACAAUUUAUGCUCCACGAUGAAGUGACUCCCCCAGGGUCAACUAGCUAAGCAGUGGCAAGUGGGCCACCCACCCAGGCCAUCUCAGUCUGACUCCUGUUCUCUGUGUCAUUGCGUAUGGCGACGUGUGGGUCAUAUGAUCACACAUCCCUGGCUGAUAUGAAUUGUGAGCUUCUCCUGGGUCUUCCGAGGAAGGAUCCUUUCAGGGGUGCUUUGGAAUGAAGGCAGUGGAGGCCAAGAGACCUCUAGGUCAAAGCCAGGCAGGAGGGUCCUCUCAAGGGUCCAGCCAACAAGUUGCAUUUCUCCCUCAGAGGCUUGAAGAGGCAGAACAGCCAGAGGAGUCUGGAGCCACCUCAGUGUCACUAUGGGAAAACAGCAACAGGAAAUGUCCUCUUGCCUGCAUGCACCACCUCAACCUGCCCCUUCGCUCCUUCUGGAAGCUGUGCCUGACCACUGGCCUGCCCCUUCUAUGGGAAUCCCUACUGACCUUGCCACUUACUAUAGGCUUAUAUGUAUGCAUAAAUAUAAUUUUAAUUACUUUUGUAUUGCUCCAAAAGUGAUAGAGAAUCAUGAUAGAAAAUUUAAAUAAACAAAGUAGCCCAAUUAAUACCAGUAAUCAUCCCAGUCAAAUAUACCCAGCUCAUAUUUUGGUAUCUAAUCGUCCAGUACAUUUUCUAUGUAUAUAUUUAUUUUUAGGAAGGAGACUAUAUUUUACAUACUGUUUUCUAAAAUAUUCUUUUAAAACUAUCAGGAACAUCUUUCCUUAUAAUUAAAUAGUCUUCUGCAACAAACUUUCCUGAUGAAUAUUUUUAUCAUGGUCACUGUUGUGUUACGUGCAUCUUAGUUUAGCAUCCUCAGUUACACUCUAAGCUUAUUAAGCACCAUGUUCUCCAACCAGCUCCAGGAUGGCUUUGUUCAUUGGUUGGUGGCUGUGUGGGGAAGGGGAAGGAAGUAGAAAGUGAGUGGGAUUUGAGUAAACAAGCUGGGUUUAAAUGCUGAGUCUGCAUAUUCCAUAAGCCCACCUGCCUGCCUACCUGCCCGCCUGCCUUCUUUUUCCCUUCCCUUUCCCUUCCUUUCCCCUUUCCUUUCCCUUCCCUUUCCCUUCCCCCUUCCUUCCCCCUUCCUUCCCCCUCCCUUCCCUUCCCCUAUCCUUCCCCUUCCCUUCCUCCUUCCCCCUUCCCCUCCCCCUCCCUUCCCUUCCCUUCCCCUCCCCCUCCCUUCCCUUCCCUUCCCCUCCCCCUCCCUUCCCUUCCCUUCCCCUCCCCCUCCCUUCCCUUCCCUUCCCCUCCCCUCCCUUCCCUUCCCUUCCCCUCCCCCUCCCUUCCCUUCCCUUCCCCUCCCCCUCCCUUCCCUUCCCUUCCCCUCCCCCUCCCUUCCCUUCCCUUCCCCUCCCCCUCCCUUCCCUUCCCUUCCCCUCCCCCUCCCUUCCCUUCCCUUCCCUUUCCUUCCCUUCCCCUUCUCCCUUCUCCCUUCUCCCUUUCCUUCCCUCUUUCCUAUAACAAAUACCCUGUUAGAUAUUUUAUAUAUUCAUGUAAAUAUGCACUCAUUUAAAUAUCUUCUGGGCACCUCCUCUGAGUGGCCCUGAGCUUGGUUCUGGGGCUGUGGCACUGCACAGGAGAAACCAGGUCUCUGCUUCCCAGGAGCACAGUGCAUCCAGUGGGGGCACAGACUCAAAUCAAGCCAACAGACAAAACCUGAACAGGUAACUAACUGGUGUUAAGUACAACAUUAACAUGGAUAAGAACGGGAAUUACAGGGGAACACACUUGAGCUGGAGUCCAGCAAAGCCCUCUCUGGGGAGGUGUCAAGCCAAGACCUAAAGGAGCCUGCUGCAGGGAGGAUGGAGAAGAAUUUCUGGCAAAGGCCCUGAGAUGAGGAAGGCCCUGAGAUGGGAAAGGAUCAGGGAUGGGGAAGGCUUUGGCUUACAUGAGGGACUUCAGUUGGUCUGAGCAGCCGCAGAUCAUGAGGGAGCAGGCAGUCUGCAGGAAGGUUGGGGUUCAACAAUGGCCAGGAGACACUGGGUUCAUGGGGUUUGGCAGGGAGACUGGCUUUACUCUAAGAGCAGUGGACAGUCACUGAGGGAUUUUAUGUGGGUCAUUUGCAUGUUAAAGUUCUCUGGGGUGCUGUGUGGAGAUUAAUCUGCACAGGCUCCAUCUGGCUUUCAGACCCUACUCUUCCAAAUUGCCUUCUUUCUCACUGGCCUUGAGAGUCACAACAUUUGCCUUGAGGGCUUUUUCCUUAGAUAGCUUCUUUUUUCUAUCUUUACAAAACUCCUUGAGGAAAAUCUUGGGGAAAUCUGUCAUCUUUACAUUGCCAUCUCCCUCUCCUUGGCCUCCAGGCUGGUGUAUCCAGCUGCUUCUGCCACAUCUUCAUUUGAGUGUCUAAUUGUCAUCACAAACUUCUGACCCUUGCCCCAGGAUCUCCUGAUCUGCCAUCUUCUCCAUGUUUGCUCAUGGCGACUCUGUCUUAUCAGUCACUCAGGCUAUAACCUUGAGGUCAGUCAACCUUGGGACUCCCCUCUCUCAUCCAUCUUAUGGAAACUAUCUUAGCAAAAGGUAUGUCAGUGAGAAAAUUAUAACAGUAAGCUAAGCUAACUCCAUCUCCAUUUUGCCUUUCCCUUAAUUAUUCCUGGGGUAUUGGGCCAGGCUAAUUUUGGAAGAAACUUAUGCUGCAGUUUAAAUGAUAAUAGGCCUCACCCAAAACGCAACCACUUUUGUAAAGAUAGCAAGAGGCCAUCAUGCUGCAGGGAGGAGAGGAGCCUGAAUCCUGCUAAGGUGCAGAUGUUAUUCCAGAGGUUAUGAGAUAUGCAACUUCCUCAAUUACUCCAGCAAACAACACUUCUAUCAUAGAUUGGCCUUUCGUGAGCUCUUUAUAUAUUUUUUUUGCGUGUCUGACACCCUUGGCUCUGCCUGGACCUCAUGGCCCUAUCCAGAAGCAAUUCAGCCCCACAGGAGGACAGCUUCAACCCCCGACAAUUUCAUCUCUGCCCCAGCCAAUCAACAGCAAGCACUUGUUACCUGUCCACCUGGCCCCUUCCCCCAAACUGCCUUUGAAAACCCACUAACCUAUGAGCUUUGAACAAGAUGAUUUAAGUAAGAACUCCAUCUCCCAUGCUACAUGGCCAGCCUCAUGUCUAUUAAAUUCUUUCUUUGCUACAAAGCCGUGGUCUGUCUUUAUGCAGUGGGCAGGAAGAACCCUUUGAGCGGUUACACAUUUGGGGGCUCAUCUAACCCCUAACCCUAACCCUAACCCUAACCCUAACCCUAACCCUAACCCUAACCCUAACCCUAACCCCUAACCCUAACCCUAACCCUAACCCUAACCCUAACCCUACUGCCCUUGGUUCAGUAGCCCCCCACUGGCAAUGGGCCUGGAGGCCAGGCCAAGUGGCUGCCUAGUUCUCCCAGCGGAGAGAUGGGGGCUGACUCCAGCACCAUCUCUACCGGCGGGACACUGCUGACCAUAAUGUAUGGAAGCAGUGGGUAGGAAGAACCCCUUGGUUGGGCAGUUAUGCUAUCUAUCCAGCCCAUCUGUCAAAUGCAUCCAGAAUGCCAACUCCCCUCACUUCUUGGUCCAAGCCGUCAUCAUUCCUGCCUGGAUUUUUGCAGCAGCCCCUGGACUGGCCUCCAAGCUUCUGCCUUCACCUGUCAAUCUGUUCUGAAAACAGCAGCCGGGGUGAUCCUUUGAAUGGCAACCAGAGCACAUAAUCCCGUUUGCUUCAAAACCCUCAAAGGGUUCCAUCCAGUUUGGAGUAAAAGCCAUAGGCCUCACCGUGGCCUGCGAGGCCCAUGGGGUGCAGCCCUGCGAUAUCUUGAUGUCUCUAGUCACUCCUUGUCCUUCCCAUCUCAUUUCACCCUGGCAUCCUGGCCCCUUUGUCAUCACUCAGCCCCUCCAGGCACCUGCUGUUUCCUCCCACUCCCUCAUCCUGCUCAGUCUUUGCUCAGGUGUCAUCAUUUCCAUGAGGCCUUCCCUGGCCACCAGAUUUAACAUUCAAAUCUCCCCGUGUCCCACGAAGCUCGCUAUGCGCUUCCCUGGCUUUAUUUUCCUCCAUUGUUCUUGGCGUCUCCUAAUGGGUCCUACAAUUGUCUGAGUUGAUAUAUUAGUUUCUCCUACUCCCCUGGAGUAUCAGCUUCAGGAAGGCAGGGAUUUUUGUCUUAUCUCUUUCCAAGAAAAGUAUCUGGACUUGGCAGGCACUCCAUGAGUAUUUGUAAAACAGGUGAUUGGACUUCCUUAUACCAAAGAGAAUCUACACAGAAAACAAAUCUUUGCUUCAAGCAUCAACCUUUUGGUAUACAUAUAUAUGUCCAAGUUUCUCUAUUUUUUUUUUUCAGAGAAGGGUCCCUUCUGGUUUCCCCUGCUGCCCAUCAGGAGGCACUCAGGCAGCAACUGUGCAGUAAAGGGUACACCUUCAGCCUCUGGUUUCCCAGACCAGAGAGCUGUCAACACCAUAAGCUAUUUGGGCCUCACCUCUGGUGUUCUGGAGUGGCAGGCUGAUCACAGGUGUGGUGCAUCAGACUAUGAAGAGGCUGGGUAGCCAUGACUCUGCUGGGACAUUGACCUCUUUGAGGCAAACAGCGUGAGCUGGAAAAAGUGUGUCUAUCUGAGAGUUAAAAACUGGUGAAUUCCCCUGUUGCUCUUCCCCAUCUGCUGGGUCCGUAUGAUCUGACUGCCACCCGCUUUCCCCUUUCCUCACUGGGCUCCACACGCACUGGCUUCCUUCCUUCCUGAAGCCUCCAUCUCCUGCCUAGCUCAGGGCUUUGUCAGCCACUUAUCCUGCCUGUGCUGCUUCCUGUAGUGUGCUGAGCCACGUCCCCCAAGAGAUAUUUUCAAGUCCUAACUCCCAGAACCUGUGAAUGUGACUUUGUGUAUAAUAGAAAUGGGGUCUUCCAGAUGCAGUCAAGUUCAGAUAAGGUCGCACUGGAUGAGGGUGGUCCCUAAUCCACUGGCUGGUGUCCUGAGGACAGAGACACAAGGUGGGAGGCCUUGAGGACAUGGAGGUAAAGAUACGAAUGAGGCAUCUCUGAGCCAAGCACCACUAAGGAUUGCUGGCAACCACCAGACACUAGUUAGAGGCAAGGAAAGGUUCUUCCCUGCAGCUUUCAGAGGGAGACACUUUGAUUUCAGACUCCUAGUCUUCAGAGCUGUGGGAAAGUACUUUCCUGUUAUUUUAAGCUCCCCAGUUUGUGAUGUGCUGUCAUGGCAGUCCCAGGAGACGAAUACAUUCCUUCUCCUUCGGUUGACACCUCCAGGACCAUCUCCUUGAAGAGCCAUUCUUUAACUCGCAGCCAUUACCAGGCUCCCAAGUUCUACACCUGCAGCCCCACAGCCUAUUCCAGCAGGAGCUGCUCUUUUGGCAGCUUCCCCUGACAGAGUGUAAGCCCCUUUGUGUCCAGGUUGCUCACUGUAAGUCCUCAGUCUCUGGGAGCACCUUCGGCACUCAUUGGGUGAGCAAUGUAUUUUUGCUGAAUGAAUGUUUGCAGUCUGGAGUGAGCCUUAUGGACUUCAGAGGCAUCUUGAUUUGAGUCUAUGCGUUAGAACCAGUCAGAAGGUUGCCCUGGGUGCUUCCCCUAGAAAUCCUCAAAGUACAAUUAUUCAAAUUGAGUCUUUCAGUCCAUGGUACCCUACGGUUGCAGAUGACACAAAAAACUUGAGAACCUCUGAGGACUUUCCAAGCUGGGGCCUGUUCUUACUGUUUAGCGUGAAGUGUGUCUUCUUGCUAAGAACAUGAACCAGAAAUGAGUUUUACCAAGUGAUUAGCAAGACUUUAAAUAGAAAAGAAACUCCAAAAUAUGUAACUUCUCUCACACUUAAGCCUCGGUUUCAACUUCCCCUUCCUGCUUCCCAUCACCAGAAUCUCCAGAUCUUAUUUCCUGGGUCAUGAUGAAUGGUGGCCCUAUUUCAGACCUCCCCGAAUUCUGCUAAACUUUCCCUCUUUGGGUUUUAGACAGAUGUGUGGUAAGCACCUCUGCAAUUGACAUCUCCUGUGAGACCCUUCUCUUACAUGCUAUGUGGGUUUGGCCUCCAGUGGAUUCAGAAUGGUCUUUGUUGAGCACCUAAAAAGUGCUAGCUUUUACACUAGGCCGUUUGACACUCUGUAACUUCCUUUUCAUUAAUCUGUUCCAGAAAUUUACGUCCACUAUGGUGUGAUCUCACUUCACAGCCCUUUUACUGAUGAGGAAAUUGCAGCUCAGAGAGGUCAAGUAAUUUGCCUAAGGUCACACAGCUAAUAAAUGGCAAAGCUGUUUCCAAUUCUAGAUCUGCCUGACUCCAGUUGGUGGUUUUCCUUUCCUAAAUUUUACAACUGAAAACCCAUCCUAACUAGAGAUGACAAGAGGCUUUAUUGUAAGGAUCCGGGCCGUGCCUAGGACUGCCUGGUGGUUAUCCAGCAGCCUCUUGGGAGAAGUUGGACUGUUGGAUUUGUGGACUAGGGACCCUUUAUAUACGCUUAGCACAUACCACAAACCUGGCCUGGGGUCACCUGCUCUUGGGGCUGUGUUUUCUGAUUAAGGGACGUUAGGCUAGCCACUUCCCACACCCAGCUUCAGUUUCCUCAGCUAUAAAAUUAAGACAUAGAUGUGCCUUCCAUGCUGCCAUCCUGCCCUGAUAAUCUGGGAUUUUAGUAUCCCAGGGCUACAAUGCCCCAUUCUUCCAUACCCCUCCUACUCCUGCCUUUCUAUCCUAUCUUGAGCCAUGGUUCACACACAAACUCCCUAGGCCUCCAUGCAGGUCCCUUCUGUCAGAGGCCCCAGCUUCUCCACCCCUGUUCCUCCUCUCAGCCCACAUCCUCUCCUCUCCUGGAGUUAGUCCAGCUUGGGGAGCUCCAGCAAGUUCUUUCACCUCUCUUAGCUUCCAUAUCCUUUUCUUUAACAACCUCAAAUGAAUGUAACAAGCCCACCUCACAGGCACAUUAUGAGGACUCGGUGAAAUGAAACAGUAACCACUGUUUGCCUUUUAGGCACCUGGCACAAGUGUUGUCUCUGGAGCUGGGUGGUUGGGUGAAGAUCUUGGCCAGGCUGCUCCUCCCCGCCCAAGCCAUGUGUGACUGGACCAGGUGCGCUGUGGCUCCAUGCCUCCACAUGCUCUCCUGUCAGGCAGAGACAGCACCGACUUCCCUCCAGGCCUGUUAUGAGAGUUACGUGAGUUGAUAUUUCUAAAGCACGUCAAACAGUGUGGGGCAUUAGGCUAGCCCCUAAUGUCUCUCAUGCCAAUGAGUGCUGUAGAAGAGUUAGCCAGUAUUCGUAGAUCAACUAAUUACCCAAUCAGCCUGACAAAGGAGGUACUGUGAUUAGUGCCAUUUAAUAAACAGGAAAGUCGGGAGGCUGAGGCAGGAGAAUUACCUGAACCCAGGAGGUGGAGGUUGCGGUGAGCCGAGAUCGAGCCAUUGCAUUCCAGCCUGGGUAACAAGAGCGAAACUCCGUCUCAGAAAAAAAAAAAAUAAUAACCGGGAAAGAUCAGUAACUUGGCCAAGGGCAGAGAAGCAGGCCUCGAGCCCCGAUUGAUAAGACAACCUAGAGGCAGGCUCCUCCCCUUCAGUUACGCUGACUGCUAGACAGAAGGGGGCUCCCCACUUGGGACUUAAAAGUUUGCAAUAGCCAUCUCGAAGUUCUUGAGAACCUUCAUCAUUUUAUCUUUGAGUUUGUGUUUUGUAAGUGAAGUUCUGCUUCUGCCACGUCCUCGUCUCCCCAGACUUGCCCAAGACCGAGGAGGGGCAGAAUCAAUCCCACAACUGUGCCAUGGGGCAGGGCUGUGGGGAUCUUCAAGAGGCUGCAUUCACCCUGCAAGUAUUCCUGUGCCCCAGAGAGUAUGACAUUACAUAGCAGAUGAAAACAAAGCAAAACAAAAACACACCAGGAUGGAGAUCUCAGAAUAAAGAAAAACGCUUUAUUUUCUUCCUGUUUUAACGAGCAUUUUCAUUCUGCACCAGGCCUUGCUAAUAAUGUAGCCAGAUCUGGGUGCGAAGCAUGUCAUGGGUGGGAAUAAAAUGAUAGCGCUCUUUCGAUUCAGAAAGACCUUCAAAAUACUUGUUCCAACUUUAGUAAUUCAGUGCAGUUUGUUCAGACUUUUGAUUCAGGUAGAGACAAAAUCUUUAGCUGAGGAGAGAAAGGUAAUUCUUUUGCCACCAUCUACAAAUAUAUGUAUGUAUUUUCCCUAAAGCCUCCUAAGGCCUUUGCAAGAUUUGCAUCCAAAAUGUGGGCCCUUUGCAACUGACAUUCCUGUUUGGUAGUGGAUGAGAGGAAAAUCUUUAUUUUUCUUCUUCUGCUGUUGCUGUAAUCCUCAGAUGCAGAGUGUUCUCUUUAAAAGAAGCUUUUAAAGGGCAAUUACUUUAUGCAAAUGUGGGCAUCUCUAGAUGGCUGGCAAGGCUGGAGCCAGGCCACAGAAGCCUGGAAAGUGGACCACACGGUCUGGGCAGGGGGCCAGGAGGGAGGCCCUGCUUGCCGGUCUCAGCAACUUUCUUCUGCUGCCCCCUGGACCCCGUGGGAGAAGACUUAGCAGCCACAGUCAGAGUAAUGGGAAGAUCACACCCAUGCAGAGCAGAACCAGGGAGGAUACCUUAUCUGGUUUAUCUCAUGAGAAAUAGAUAAGGCCCCUUGAGAUCUGAGCAAGCAGCCACUCAAAAUUAAUCCCGGAAGCCACUGCAGACUUGUGUCCAAUGAGAGGUCUCAGUUGGACAGAAGAAUAGACCACGCUGGGCUGGGAGUAACCUCUCCUGCUUCAGUAUAGGCCACAGCACAGCAGAGGGUGAACAUUCCAGGAAAGAGUGAAGGACGCAGGAGGAGCCUGCUAGGGGAGGCCAGUGUGGGAAAAGGUGGCCUGGGACAGUAUUGUGGGGGAGAGGCAGUUGGGCUCCAGCCUCUUUUCUUAGUCUUGGAGGCUAUGCAGUCUUCAAGAGGUCACUGCCCCAGUGGCUAGGCCCAAUCUCGUUUUCACAACCGCUUUGGGCAUCUCUGAAUCCCCAGAUGGAGCAGCCCAGGAGUGGACAUGCUGCCGUAGCCAUGCCUCCUUGUUGCUCAAUGAGUCUGUGCUCACCACUUCCCCAGCGCCUCCCUCUGCGUUUGCUGCGCUCCUCCUAGAGCGGCACCUUUCAUCUCUGCCUCACUGAAAGCACCUUUUCUGUUUCUCUGUUUAUGGGAGAAAAAAUAGCAUGAGAGGCAGGGCACAACAGACUUCGCCUUGGGUUCUGCUGGGUAAGUUUUUCUGCUUCUCCAAGAGGGGACCUGACUAGUGAGGCCCGAGGUUCAGAUCAGUGCUCUAAUUCCCAAUGUGCAAUUGAGUCAUUUUUACUUGUUUCUACGGUGUGUUAAUAGUAGCUGGCCUUUUCUAACUUCCAUCUAUGAGCUUGGCCCCCUUGCUAAUCUCUCUACUACAUGCAAUAUCCCUUUUAAAUCUUUUUUUUAAUCACAAAAUAAUUUACAGAUGACAAAAUGCAAAGAUCUUAGGUAUAGAAUCUGGCUGGUUUUGCAAAUGUAUACAUCUAUGUACCCCUCACUCCCAAACACUCCCCCUGAGAGUUUCCUUCUGUCUCUCUCUAUUUUCUGUCCUGAUCAUCCCACAUCAAGAAGACCACCGUUCUGAUUUCUGUCCCUACCCAUGCACUUUCUCUGUUCUAGGACUUCUUAGAAUCAUCUGUUCUUUCCUCGCGUCUGGCCUCUUUUCUUCAGUACACUCUUUAUGGGCAUCCAGGUUGUUGCAUAGAUCAAAAACACGUCCUUUUUAUGGCUGCUUAGUAUUUCCUUGUCUGGAUACUCCACACUGUUUAUCAUUUCAUCUAUUCCAUGGACAUUUGGAAUGUUUUAAGUGUAUGUUGAUGAUGAGUGAGGCUGCUAUGAGAUUUCAUGGACAAGUCUUUUUAUGGACAUAUGUCUUGGGGAAAUACCUAGAAGUGGAAUUGUUGGAUCAUAUGCUGAGUGUAUUUUUAGCUUUCGAAGCAACUGCCAAACUGUUUUUCCAAAGGGUGGCAUCAUUUUUUAACUCUUGCCGGGAGCAGAAGAAAGCUCCAAUUGCUCCACUCCUCACCAACACUUGGUAUUGACAGUAUUUUUGAUGCUGGCCAUCUUAGAGGGUGUGAAGUGCUGUCUCGCCAUGCUUGGUAUUUGCAUUUUCCUAAUUACUAAUGACAUCGGGCACUGUUUCAUGCACUUAUUGCAUAUAUCUUCUUUGUGAAGUGUCCAAGUCUUUUCUGUAUUUGGGAAGAUGGGUCGUUUGACUUUUUAUUAUUGAGUCACAAGGGUUAUUUAUAUAUCCUAGAUACAAAUCCCUGGGCAGAUAACACGUCCUGCAAAUAUUUUCUUCCAGUCUCUACUCACAUGGUCUGUUUUAAUCCUCCCAGGAACUCGAUGAAGUAGAUGUUAUUAUCCUCUACUUUAUUUCCCAGAAGCCAAAGCCCAAGCCCAGAGAGGUUAAGUGAAAUGUUCAGAGUCACACAGCUCCUCAGUCCCGCAGUGAGAAUGUGGGCCCACUGCAGUGUGACUCAGAGCAUUGACAUCCAGAAAAUCCCGGGAAGCUUCUUUCCACACACAAAGCCUUGUAUCUCCCUGGCAGUCUGGGGGCAUGUGGUCCUCCAGUCAGUGCCGGGCUGGGUUAUUUCGGUUCACACUCACUCCCUCUGCCUUGCACAUACCAGACCAUCCUGGGAAGUAGCUGGCUCCCACAGCCUGGUUGGGAGCGUGGUCUUCUGGGGAGGAUGCCACACAGCUUUGAGUUGCUCUGAUGAAUGACAAACUGCAGGUAUUCUUAUGAGCCUCCGAGGACGCUGGCAGGAUUACCUCAUGCCAGGAAUAACAAUGAGGGGCCCAGGCGAGCUCACCAACAGCCCUUCUCUGGAAGGCAUCACUGGAGGAAACCAGCCAGGAGAUGGGAGACCGGGGCUGGGAUAUUUUGCCCAUGGCUGUCUCGAAGAAGGGCUGUUGGGUGCCUCAGGGACUUCCCUCUUCCUUUUUCCUUUCUGAGCAGCUGAAAAGCGUCCCUGUGGCAGUCAGAGCAAAGGGCUAGGAGGUUUUGCGAGAGCAGGAACAACAGCAACACCAACCCUCAAAAUGCUAGUUGGAAUAGCAAGCCUUUCUGAGCUCUCGCUGUGUGCCAGGCACCGUGUCCACACCUGGCAGCCCUGUCUGAUGCCAGACACUGGAUUGGCUCUGAAUUUACUACUUCGAUCCUCAUCACACCUCCGUGAGAUACACAUUAUUCAAAUGCCCACAGGAGGAAACGGAGGUCCAGAGAGGUGAAGGAAUUUGCUUAACGUCACUUAUUUGUAAGUGGUUGAAGUUUGAAUAGGGGUUUAGCUAAUUCUAAAGCCCAGUAGCUUUACUGUUAUGCACUUCUGCCAUUCUGUUCCAAAAUGUUGUCAGAUUUCAAGUUUGUGUCAUGUACUACACAUGAAGUGUCUCGGUCAGUGGAAUAUAAGAUAAAAUAAGACCUGUCUCUUCUUUGGGCACUGUAGUGGGUUGGAUGGUGGAUCCCCAAAAGAAAUAGCUACAUCCCAGAACCUGUGAAUAUCAUCUCACUUGGAAAAAAAAAGUAUUUUUGCGUAUAUAAUUAAGGAUCCUGAGAUGUGAUUAUCCUGGAUUCUUUGGGAGACCCUAAAUCUAGUGACAAGUAUUUUUAUAAGAGACAGAAGAGAAGUCCAUUCAAAAAAGGAAGCAGAGAUUGGCAUGAUGCAGCCACAAGCCAAGGAACACCUGGGGCCUCCAGAAGCUAGAAGAGGCAAAUAAUUCUCCCUUAGGACAUUUAAAAGGAGGUUAGCAUAAUAUAUUUCAUUCAUUUGAAGUGAGUCCCUAGGUCCAGCCCACCUGCAGCUGGCGUGCAUUACACAAGGGCUUGAAUCCUGGGAGGCAGGAAUCACUGUGGGGCAGCGUAAAAGCAGUCUAGCACAGUGCCAAGAGGCAGGAAUCACACUUUCUAUUUCUCUUUUUUUUUAAGUUUGUAAGAUUUUUUUGAGAAGGUGUCUUGCUCUGUCACCCAGGCUGGAGUUCAGUGGCACAAUCUUGACUCACUGCAACCUCUGCUUCCUUGGUUCAAGUGAUUCUCCAGCCUCAGCCUCCCAAGUAGCUGGGAUUACAGGUACCCACCACCACACCCAGCUAAUUUUUGUAUUUUUUAGGAGAGGUGAGUUUCACCAUGUUGGCCAGGCUGGUAUUGAACUCCCGACAGCAAAUGAUCUGGCCUUGGCCUCCCAAAGUGCUGGGGUUACAGGUAUGAGUCUGGCCCCAUCUUCUAUUUCUCUGGCAGUCCCUGGCCCCUAUCUGAAAGAAAGAGAACUAACAUUAUCAUUUUUAUUUAUUAAGAAAUAACAUUUAUUGUCCAUUGACUGUGUAUCACCUACCAUGCCAGAUUCUUUAAACACAUCAUUUCAUGCAGUCUUGCUUAACCCUCCUAUGAACCCUGCAGAGGAAAGUGUUCUUAUCUCCAUUUGGCAGAGGAGGAAACCAAGACACAAAAAGAUGAAGGCCACACAGUAGCCUCUCAGAGGAAGCCAGUGGCUCUCAAACUGUAGCUGCAUCAGAAUCACUUGAAAAUAAUUUCUGGGCCCUGAGCACAGAGUUUCUGAUUUAGCAGCAUUAGGGUGGGACUUAAGAAUCUGUGUUUAUUUUUCCUUUGUUCUUUAUUAUUAUUAUUUUUUGACAUAGUGUCUCUGUCUCUCAGGCUGGAGUGAAGUGGUGUGAUCUCAGCUUACUGCAACUUCCGUCCCUCAGGUUCAAGCAAUUCUCCUGCCUCAGCCUACCAAGUAGCUGGGAUUAUAGGCAUGUGCCACCAUGCCUAGCUAAUUUUUGUGUUAAAAAUUAACUACGAAAAGUAGAGACGGGGUUUCACUGUGUUGACCAGGCUGGUCUUGAACUCCUGACCUCAGGUGAUCCACCCACCUUGGCCUCCCAAAGUGCUGGGAUUACAGGUGUAAGCCACCAUACCUGGCCAGAGAAUCUGUAUUUCAGACAAGUUCCAAGUUGAGGCUCAGGCUGUUGGUUUAUAGAUCAAGCUUUUAGAACCACUGGAGAAUCUUUUGCAGCAACAGACAACCCCUAAAGUUUCAAUGGAUUAACAUAUCAAAUGCAUUUCUUGCUUAAGUUGCAGUCUUACUCGGGUAGGGCAGCUCUCCUUCAUGCUAUAGCCCCUAUCAUUUGGAGCAUAUGGUCCCCAAAGUCACCAUGGAAGGAAAAAGAGAGGUCAGAGGGUCACUUAGGAUGUUCAAAAAAGCUAGGCCUGAAAGAGGCUUUCGUGCCUUUUGCCCAGCCUCCAUGGUCCAAGAAUCAGCCCGGAGGCCUCAAAUUAACUGCAAAGGAGGCUGGGAAAUGUAGUUCUUCCCCGGGAGGAAGCAAUGAUAAGAUAAGCACACAGCUGGUCAGGGUAGGGCUGGGAUUUGUUCUCAGGUGCUUUCCCUCCUUCCUCUCUUGCCUUUUUUCUGGUCCAGGUGUUUUUGGUGGGCUUUCUCAGUGUUAAGGAACUUCUGUAUGUAUGUGUGUGAAACUGAAAAAAAAGAGGAGGAAAAAGACAUUUUUGGGUCUUCCAGCCCACUCUCUUGCCAGCAGCCUUCACCCUCUUAGAGGUGCAGGUGCUCAGCCUCAUGGCUGAUCACUACUUUGAAAGCCCUUUCCUCCAACAUGUAUGCAGAGCAUUCUUGCGUAAGUUUCAUCUGUACCAUGUCAAGUGAUUCAGGACCACCAUCUCUGAAUUUGAAGAACACUCAAGCUAUUGGUUCUCCAGGACCUAAACCCUGGACUCCAGGCCACAGACAAGCUCAGAGUAGAAAACAAGUCCUUGCCACUCCUCCCCUAUGCUUCAUAUUGCUCCAAACCUACCUACCUCCAACACGUGGUGUAGUUUCUAGCUUCCCUUCUUUUGCAUGUACUGUGACAUCUGCCUAGUAUCUUCCUCUUCCCUCCAAACUUGACUCAGACAACACCAGCUCUAUGAAGUCUUCAUCAAUCUGUCAAAGAAAUAUUCAACUUACCCUCACUCUGGGUCACAGGCACAGGCAUGUCUCUUUGUCUAGCCUGUGGUCUAGCACUUGUCACGGUCUGUGUAGACUUUGCCCUUGCCUGCCUCUCCUUAGAGAAUAUGAGAUGUCCAAGAGACAAGACUGCUUGGCAUCUUCUUUUGGCCUCUUAAUUUCUGACAAGACUGAGUCUGGAAGCCUUCCUGUUACCUGCGAAGCCCUCCUCAAGAUCCACAGGUGAAGAAGGAAGUCUCUGGCACUUUUUUGAAUCCCAGCUAUGCCACUUGUAGGCUGUGUGACCAAGGGGAAAUUCUUAGUCUCACAAAUGCCGCACUUUUCUCAUCUGUAAAGUGGAGCUAAUAAUGUUGUAUCUGUUCAAUGAAAUAAUGCAUCUACAGCCCUUUGCACACAGUGCAUGGAAACACUCAGGAAAUGCCAGUCGUCACUGUGCUCUUAUCACUGCUCUUGUUUAGCACACACCAGCUGCACCAGGUCACUUAUUUGCUGGCAGUUUUGAUGAUCUUGCAUGCCCCUUUACUUUUGCACUUUAUCUGUUCUUGUUAGAGGUCCCUGUCCCUCACCUCUUAAUUAAUUAAUUCAUACUUAUUCAUUCAUUUAUUUAACAAAGCUUUUGCUGAAUUCAUUUCUCCUCAUCCUUUAGCCUCAUCUUGGCCCUUCCUGCCCAUUCCCAUUGAAUUUAGCAGUCCUGUUUGACUUCUAUCUUCUUUUCUGUAUCUCCAUGAACAAUUUGAGAGCAGAAGCAAGGUGCUCAUUUCCUAGUGGAGUUACCGCUAUGAACCCAGUUUCUAAUAUCAUCAUCAUCACAUAGUGGGAGCUUAAUGGACAUCUGCUGAAUGAAUAUAUGAAUGUUGCUCAUCUCUGAGUCUGUUCCCAAUGCUUAGUGCAUUGUAGGUGCUUACCCAGGACUCUUCCUCCUGCAGGAAACCGGAUCACUCUGGAUGCAUAUCAUCUAGAGGCCCUACUUGUGGAAGGGUUACUUUUAAUCAGUGUAUCUAGACUUUGCUACCUUGUGAACCACAAGGCUCUCCAUGUUUAAAUGUUUACCUGACCAAGUUUAAAAUGUCCAGGGUUUGAGAAGCUCUCUGAACAGUGCAAGAGGACCCAUUUCACCUGUGUUUCUUGGACAAUCGCUAGAGUCUUCCAAGCCUUCUCAACAGUUGCUGCAUUUGAAGAUGCACUGCAGAGUAUCGUCUCAUCAUCUCCUGAUACCACAGUGCCUAGAUUAGUGCCUAGUAACCAAGGAAGGAGGGAAGAAGCAGCCUUUCUCACGCUGGCCACUGUCUUAGAGAUGUGGAUUUGGAGUCAAAAUGUUUUCCCUACUAGCCUAAUAGUGUGGAUGGUAACAUGGGUCUAAAACAGUCCCUCGGGCUCUUCUUUCAUGAAUUUUUCUGAUUUCUUUGGUAGCUGAGGUCUGGUUUUGAUGUCCGAACUGGCUCUAGAAAUUAAUCUUUCUCUCUCACCCUUUUUUUUUUCUUUUUUGAGAUGAAGUCUUGCUCUUUCACCCAGGCUGGAGUGCAGUGGCACAAUCUUAUCUCACUGAAACCUCUGCCUCCGGGGUUCAAGUGAUUCUCUUGUCUCAGACUCCCAAGUAGCUGGGAUUACAGGCACGUGUCACCACACCUGGCUAAUUUUUUGUAUUUUUAGUAGAGAUGGGAUUUCACCGUGUUAGGAUGGUCUCGAUCUUCUGACCUCAUGAUCUGCCUGCCUCUGCCUCCCAAAGUGCUGAGAUUACAGGCGUGAGCCACCCUGCCAGGCCCUCUCUCACCUUUUUAUGUAAUUGCUUGAUUUGUUUGUCUCUUGGGGGUGGCAAGGUGGGAAGUUUGCUCUCCCCAAGGCUGGCCAGGGUAGAACCUUCUGUGCUGGUGCUGUGUUGACAGCGGAAAGAGGUGCAGAUGUUGGGGGUUGGAAAGUCAGCAUGCAGGUUCAAUGUCCUAUGACCUCCUUAGAGGGACCCUGUUGGCUAUUGCCUGCUCAUGUCAUGGAGGAACUGCAUGUGAUUUUUGUUGACAUUUUACUUUUAUUUCUAAUUCUAUUUAUAGGAGGUUGUUCAGAGAUUGCCCCAGUUUUUACUCCUUAUUAAUUGUCAUGUUUAAAGCCAUGUAUAUUUUCUGACUAACCACUUUUCUUUUCCCUAUGAAGCAAAAAUAAUAUUAAUUGAAACUGUAAUGUGUGGCAGAGACUUUGCUGGGUAUUUUCACAGUUGUUUCAUUUGUUUUUCAUGAUCAUUCUGCAAGGUGGGUAUUAAUACUGUUAGUUCCAUGUUACAAGUGAGGAAAUGGCAGCUUAGGGAAUGUAAUUUCAUGAAGCUAGUAAACAGCUUUCUUCAUGACAUGUACAAUCUGUCUGGCUCUUUAAUCAUCCUGCCCUGAAUCUAACUUCGAGGUUCUUUUUCCAGCGAUUUUGGCAUUUGACUCUUUCUGGGUUGCACACUAUGUGCCCUGUCCCGCUGUGCUUGUAUUUCAUGGUAUCUUGUAAUAAAUGCUUCAGAACAUGGGCUCACACGUUAAUUUGCUUGUAGUAAUUAUUUCCCUGAAGGAAAAAAAAAUGUCCAUUUAUGUUUUGUCUUUCCAGACCCUCAGGGGCUGGUUCUCUGUGGCUCUUUUGGAGCAGAUGUACCCAAGAAAUCAAUAUAGCCAUUAGAUUCAUCUAUGACAACCAUAAAGUCAUAGCAUCUCCUGCCUUGUAAUGUUGAUGGCAGUGUCAGAGCCAGGAGGAGGGGAAAGACUUAAAAGAUGGGAUGGGCGCCUCUAACGUGAAGGGGAGAAUUAAAACCCCACGGAACCUCACUUAGCAGAUGAGAAAUUGUAGGUUGUUGCCUCUGGCAUAAUCAGGUCUUCUUUCAGAUAAUGUAAUGGCUUGAUGUCAGACAUGGCAGGGGGAUCGAAGCAUUUGGGUAUCAUGAGGCCCCUUAGCAGCUGUGGGGAGCAGCUGAGAGAGCCGGAAUUUUGUAUUUGCCCUUUAGGUACCAGUGCUGAAUGUCUUCAGAGGUGGGGUUGGCAGCUCUCUUGAGAUUUCCUUCUUCCACUGGAUCUGGGCUUUAAUUAUUAUUGUUAUUAUUAAUUAUUUCCUGUGGCGAGGAGAGAGGGCAUCAUUUACAAGUACAGUGCUCAAUCUAUGGAGAGCACUCCAGGUAUGUUUGACUAGUAAGUGUUGGUCUAGCUAACUAACACAUUAAGUUAAUUAACAACUAUUUAUUGAGCACCUUUUUGGUGUCAGGAGCUACUGUAGGUAUGGAGGUGGAGAUUGUGCAGGAAACGAAGCAUAUGAAACCCAUGCUUUCAGGGAUUUCACAUUCUAGUCAGGACUAGGAAUUCAGCUGAGCUAGUAGCUUGGAUUUUCUCUCUCCAAAAGAGGUUGCCCAUUGCCUCAUAGUGUAUCUUCUCCCCUUCUUUAGUGUAAAGCAGUAUUUCUUAACCAGGAGCAAUUUUGCCCCCCAAAAGACAUGUCUAGAGACAGUUUUGGUUGUCACAGCUUGGUAGGGGAUACAAGGCGUGUGUGUGUGUGUUCAUGUGUGUGCGCAUGUGUGCACUGGUGCCAGUGCUCACACUACUAGUAUCUAGUGAGUGGAGGCCAGGGAUGCUACCAAACAUUCUACCGUGUGCACAGGACAGCCUGACAACAAAGAAUUAUCACCCUGCAAUGCCAGUGGUGCUGAGGCUGGGAAGCCCUGGUGGAGACAGAAGUGGCUGCUGGGUCAGUGACUACAUUUCCCAGCUUCCCUUGCAUCUAAGUGUGGCCCGGUGACUUGUUCUUGCCAAGAGACCAUGAACAGGAAUGCUGUGCCUACAUCCAGGAGGAGGGCUUUUAGGAAGUGGAUGUACCUCUGUCCUUUCCUCAGGCUGGAUGAAGAGAACAACAAAGUUCCAGGUGACCGUGAAGCCACCAGGGGCCCUAAAUCAGCACGUGGAAGAGACUGUCUGUAAAUCAGAGACUCUCAACUUGGACACCCAUGUGUAUAAGGAAAUAAAAUGCUGUUGUGUUUUAACCAUUACGCAUUUUAGGAUUUCAGCUCCAGCACUGUAGUCUACCCUGACGACUGUUGUCCCAAAGUGUUCUCAGCAGUUCUUAAACAAUAACAAUAGCUAACACUUAGGCUAUCAGCACACACCAGGAGCCAGACAUAAAAACUUUUCAAAUAUAAGAUCUUAUUUUAUCUUCACACAAACUCUGUGGAAUAGGUACCAUUAUACCCUUGUUUUACAGAUAGAGAAACAAAUGCUCAAGGAGGUUAACAGGGCAAGUAAGUGCCAAAUGGCAGUUCUCUUCCAGGUUCCAGUCUCAACCACUGAAGCAGAUUCCUUCCUGCAGCCUUCAUAUCUCUCCAUGUGGGCAUUAGCAUCUUUCUUCAGGGUCACCGUAACUGUCCCCUUUGGUUUCUCUGCCAUCACUGUGGAUACUCCAGAGUGAAUGGCUUUUUCAAAACCAAAUCUGAACGUGCUUUUUUCCUUCCCAUCUUCCUUCAGUGACUUUUCAUUGCUUUCAAGAUAAAGCGCACACUUCUCAGCAAGGCAGAAUAUUCCUUCUGCCUCUACCCAGCCUGCCCAGCUGCCUUCAUCUUUUGUUCCCUUUCCCUUUUGCCACACGUUCCAGUGGUGAGUGCAGGCUUCAGCAGCACAGCAAAAGGAGAGGACUAUUCCUUUUCCAAAAUCAUUCUUGCUCUGCAGAGGGAAUCACAGUUAAAGUAUCAGGCUUUCCCUGUGGAUUUCCAAGAAUUCAAGAAAGGAUUGUUUGACCAUCCCCUGGGAAUGCUGUUGAAAGGAUUCUUACAUUGGGUGGGUGGCUCAUUCCAACCAGAUAUUCCUACAGUUCUUCAAAACACAUAAUUGCAUAAUGUAAGGGGAACCUGGUUUUCCAGCUUUGUUCAGUUCUCAAAUUCUAUUUGUUCUAUUAAAGACUAUAUUGACUUUGGAAAGUAAUUUGGCAACCUUACUCCUAAUUAUACUCCCUAGAGAACUCUCAUGUGCAAAGCAGAAAUGUAUUUGCAAUACCCAAAAAAGUGUUAAAUAUCCAUCCAACAGAGAAUGGACAAAUAACUCAUAAGUGAAAGCCAAUGAACCUAGAGCUACACAUAGUAAAUAUAGGUGAAUUGUAAAAACAUGAUGUAAAGCAUAAAAAGCAAUCUGAAGAAUAGGUGUAUGGCCAGGUGCAGUGGCUCACACCUGUAAUCCCAGCACUUUGGGAGGCUGAGGCAGGUGGAUCACUUGAGGUCAGGAGUUUGAGACCAGCCUGGUCAACAUGGUGAAACCCCAUCUCUACUAAAUACAGAAAAAUUAGCCAGGUGUGGUGGUGCAUGUCUGUGGUCCCACUACUUGGGAGGCUGAGGCAGGAAAAUCGCUCAAACCUGGGAGAUGGAAGUUGCAGUAAGCUGAGAUUGUGCCACUGGACUCCAGCCUGGGCAACAGAGGGAGACUCCAUCUACAAAAAAAGAAUAGGUGUAGUAUAUCAUAAUAACCAUAUAUACUGUGCCUGGUAUAGGGUCCCAGUAGGAAGCAGAAGGCAUUCCCAGUUGGAAUUGGAGUUGGAUUUUAAAGGGAAGGAAAGGAAGGGACCAUUUACAGAAUUUUCUGGAAAGAGGUUGUUUAAUAACCACAGAUUCCUUCCAUUCCAUUAUUUAUUCCCCAUUGCUGCUCCUUAUACCCAGAGAAUGAAUCCAUUUUUCCACCCGUUUUAAUCUGGGCUGGCCUUGUGACUGGUUUUAACAAAUUAGGCAAAAGAGAUUUGAGGUGAGUUUCAGAGGUCCUGCGAUUUUUGCUCUGACCCUUUUGAAAUGCUUCAGACUUCACGUAAAGAAGCUUCACUGGCCUACUGGAAGCCUCUUGAAGAGAAAGAUACACCAACAGCCAUUACCAAUCAGGACGAGCUGAUAUUGACAGACUGCAAAUGUACAAUGAGCCCAAUCAGCACCACUUUGAGCAGAAGAGCUGCCUAGCUGAGCCCAAGUCAAAUUACCAACCUACAGAAUUGUGAGCAAAGAACUGGUUAUUGUUUUAAGCCACUAGUUUAUAAUCAACAUAGUGGAGUCAAGGAACCAAGGAGGUUCUGAGGUGUCCAGGAACUUGCAAGUUGGGAGUUACCUUAAGGAGUAAGUGUAGGAGGUAGUGUUAUAGGAGCCCAGUGGGGGCCUGAGACUCAGGGUACAGGCUGUCGGGCAGGCCCCAGGAUCAUACAACCAUAGCAAGGAUGAAGUGCUGUGGAAAAUACCCAAGUCUCUCUCUCCUCCUACCCCACCCCCAAUCUCUUGCCAGGUCCUUUGACUGAGCCCAGUAAGAACCAGAAAACAAGGGUGUCAGGGAGAUGCCCUCUAUUGGGAGCAGUCUCUGGGGCACAGAGACGGAUCUGGGUUGGACAGGGGCAAAUGGAGAAUAACCAGGAUGUACGCUGUUCACAAACACCAGACUACACACACAUUUAAGGGAGUGAGAAGCCUGAGUUACUUUUGGGAAGGAGGUAUUUUUAUCUUAAAUAGAACAGCAGGCACACGAGUACUCAUUAUGUUCCCAUAUAUACUUUUUUUUGGUAUGUCUGAAAUCAGUCACAUUUAAGGAGACCUUAAGCCACUAUUGAGUCACAACAUGGGUGACCUUGGAAACGUCACUUGACCUCUGCAAACCUCAUUUUCUCCAUCAUAUGAGGCUGACAACACUCCCAUCAUGGAAUCCACAUGGGGUAAAGCUUGUGAAUGCAUGAGUGCAAUGGCUGCCAGCCAGGUAAUUUUUAAGCAGUUACCUCUGUCACACAUAAGAAGAAAUCACAUACAAGGAUGUGUGUGUGUGUGUGUGGUGUGUGUGUGUGUGUGUGAGAGAGAGAGAGAGAGAGAGGCAGACAAAAAAAGAGAGAGAGUGCUCCAUUUUGGCAAAAACCAUCAUCUGCAUGUAAAGUAAGGGAACUCUUAAUGCCUUUCCAGCUACCCUGUCAUAGGCAAUCCUCCUCAGCACCACACAGCUACUACACACACAUGCACACUUAUGCUCUCUUACACACACACAUGCACACACACACUUGCACUCAUAUACAUGUACACAGAGGUACAUAAACACAUUCAUGCUCACACAUGUAUGUGUAUACACACACACAGGCACAGACACACGUGCAGGCAUGUAGAGAGGCAUAUAAACACAUUUUUGCUCACACAUGUAUGCAUGUACACCCACAUACACACACAGGCACAGACACACAUGCAGGCAUGCAGAGAGGCACAUAAAGACAUGCUCACACAUGUAUGCAUGUACACACACACUCAUACACAGGCACAGACACAUGCAGGCAUGUAGCAGGGCAUAUAAACACAUUUUUGCUCGCACAUGUAUGCAUGUACACACACAUGCACAGGCACAGACACACAUGCAGGUGUGUAGAGGGGCACAUACACACAUAUGCUGACACAUGUAUGCAUGUACACACACAUACACGCAUACACGGGUGCAGACACACAUGCAGGCACACAUGCACAGCGACCUCAUAAGGCCAACAGUCCCUGUUAACACAGGAAGGGGUCAACCUCCUUCCUUCAGCUUGUCAUUUUUCCUGCAGGCCUGGCAUCCUCCAACCCAGUGCUAUGGCAUUUGCUGACAUGGAAACAGGAUAUAUAAAUAGGAGAGUAGGCUCAUACGUGUUGUCUCAGCACUUUGGGAGGCCAAGGUGGGUGGAUCACUUGAGGUCAAAAGUUUGAGAGCAGCCUGGUCAAUAUGGUGAAAACCUGUCUCUACUAAACAUAAAAAUUAGUUGGUCGUGGUGAUACAUACUUAUAAUCCCAGUUACUCAGGAGGCUGAGGCAGGGGAAUCAAUUGAACUCAGGAGGUGGAGGUUGCAUUGAGCUGAGAUCGCACCACUGUGCUCCAGCCUGAGUGACAGAGCGAGACUCUGUCUCCAACAGAAAAGGGAAAGUGGCAUUUUAUGGGAUGAUAAUAGGAAUGUUUGUUUCAGUCUGUUAAAGUCCUGCCACCUGCCUCCUGAUAGUGCUGUGACUUGGACCACCUGUGUGACAUCUGUUGAAAGCCAGCUUUUUCUUCAGAAAAAUGGGAGUGGUGACAGUGCCUACCCCAGGGCAUGCUGUAGGCACUAAAUGAGAGAAUGGGGGUGACUCUGUACCAGGCCCGGCACACAGUAAGCACUCAACAAAUGGCACAGGGGCUCCUGAGUUUCAGACUCAAGUCUCUCCACCUUGAGCACCUGCGUCUGGAUGAAAGGUCCUUCCUGGUGUGGUGGCAGGUAAAUAAGUUUGUUGGCUUCUUCCUCCUCCCCGCUUCCUCUCUUUGCAGUUAGGGAUAGGGGAAGAGACAAAAUAAUUCCUGCAUAAUAUUUGUCUAAAGGGAGUGUGAUGUGUAAGAUAAGAAAGUGGGUGUGAGGUCUGUCUUUUUUUUUUUUAAUAGCCCCCAUAGCAUCUGGCAUAGGUGGGCACCACGGGAUCUAUGAUGAUUGAUAAGAGUGUUUUUCAAAUUCAGCUGUCAAAGACAGGGCAAUCAUCCUGCCUCCUGCCUGGAAAGUGAUUUACAAUUUUCCUCCUUGGUGGGAUCCUAAGGCAAACAGGCACUUUUGUUUCCAUGGAGAACCCACUCUUCCCUCUAAGGUAGACAUCCUCCCCGCCUCACUCCUUCUCUCCCUCUCCCCUUUCCUUCCUCCUCCCUCUCCCCCUGCAUUCCUUAAGUACUCCCUCUCUCUUUCUCUCUCCCUUCCUCUUCCCGCUUUCUUUUCUCUCUCUUUUCACUUUACUCCUCAGUCUCUCUAGCCCUUUCCUCCUCCCACAGAUUCUUCUGCCCCAGAAGGGCCAAAUGCUACCCUUCAGCUGUGUCCCCAGAAAGGGCCAUGCCCAUCCCUCCAACCUGCCCCUAUGGAGAGGUGGGACUCUCUGAGGUCCCAGCUCAAAGCUCUUUGAGAACCAUCCACCCAGGACUCUGGAACCAUCUACCUGGGUCCCCAGACCAGGACCCGGUAGGCUGCAUGAUGAUCUCAGCUCCAGUCUAGGAGCCAAGUGCAAAUGUAAGUGCCGUCUCAUCUCUCAGUUUCUUCACCGGCAAAGAGAGAACAACUCUCCCAGGAGCUGCCAGGAGAAAGAGCUGGGGUCUGGGGACUGGAGAGAUUCCUUCGUGUAGGUCCUCUGGGUCACUCAGCUGAUAGCUCUGCCUUUUGGCCUUGAAGUUUACUCAGCCCCAAAAGGAGAUCCAGGACACUCUUCAGACCCAACGGCAAGGGGUCCUCUGCAGACCGAUUGUUGAGUGGAAUCCCAUAAGUGCCAUCUUCAUGGAGAGCUGAGGCUGUGGUGGGCUUGGGCAGGUGGAGCGGCUGGGGACUCUGAGGCUAUCUUCAUGCCUGGCAUCUACAGAGCUUCAGAAAUGCCCAUAACCACCAAAACCCAUGUCUAGGUAUUCAGAAGGCAUAAGAAGAUAAAGCCGAUCUCAGAGUGUAUGUCUGUUGCCUGUGAGCAGCUCCCAGUGUGUGCCCCUUAGUGUGUAUGUGUAUGCACAUGCACAUGUCCCCCCCCUCCAGUGGGUGGGCAGGAAGUUUGAACAACAGUCAUUAAUUUUGUAUCAGACACCAGGCUUCAGUUACAGAAUGUGAAUCUUGUACAUCUGGUCAGAACAUUGGGAUGUUCAACUUGGAGAACAUGAGCCUGGUCUGAGAAACCCAGAGCCCUAACCAGGAGCCCCAGUGUCCCCACAGUGCCCACCUCAGGGCACCGUCUCUGUAUUACAGCAGAUCCAUGUCCGGGUGGCCUCUUUCUGCUCUGAGGUGAGGCUUGGUGUCAGGGACCCAAGCUCAGGUUUGCAUGCAUUUUCAGCAUAUAAGUAUCAGUUUUGCCUGUGUUUUGUUGUGAGUAAUUAUGCAGAUUUUUAUGUGGUCCCUGCUAAAUAUAUGCUGAUGCUUCUUUCCUUUUAACAUCCCUCACCUCUCUAACUCCCACAUAGACCCAGCACCUUCUUUGGGCCGGGAUGUCUUCCGUGUGUGCUCAGCACACACAGAUGAUUCAGAUAGUCCCUGCCUGUGAGAAACUUCCCUUCUGUUUGGGAGGAAGAUAAACCAGGUUGCAGCAACAGUGUCUAGUCCUGAAGGGGCCAUGGAGAGGGCAUUCUGAGAGUGCAAAGGAGAGCCCCUAACCUCCCAGGGAACCGAAUAAGGCGUUAGGGAAGGGAGGAUGAUAGAAGAGGCUUUGUAAGAAUAGCUGCUGUAUUACAGAGGUGGGCUGUGGGAGCAGGACAGAGUCAGCGUCUCAUUUCUGGUAGAUGUAAGAGGCCCUAUAGUUUCUUAAAAAAAAUGACUCAGCCUGUGCAUUACUCUCACAGCUUUUGUACUAGAAAGACACAUUUAGUGGAAUGGCAAGCAAUACAGGGAAAACAAGGAGGGGAUGUCUCCAUUAAUUAACAACUUAGUUUCUCAAAGGGGAAGGAAUACGAGAGAAGAUGAACACUGACUGCUCACCUACUGUAUUUCAGUCUACUUUACACAUGAUCUCAUUUAGUCCUCAUCAACGACUCUGGAGAUUGAUUGAGCCCAUUUUACAGUUGAGGAGACUGAGGCUCAGGUUAAGUAACUUGCCCAAGCAGAGAGCAGGAUUUUAAACUACAAUCUCUAUGGCUUAAUUUCUGAGUCUGUGCUCUCUUUCCAACAAAUCCUACUGCCUGCAAGAACCUUCUAUAGAGAACAUAGCAUCGUGGUCAAUGAACUUCUUGUCAAGGAUCAAAACUUGGAAUUCAAUAUAAAGUCACUAUUAUUCCGGAAAAAGAAAAAAAGAAAAGAAAAACCCCGAUGCCUGCCUCCUUUGAAAAAAUAGUGUGCCUUAGUGAGAUGGGCUAUUAAUAUACCUUGUCACUGACAUCAGUAUUGCAGUCUGGUUCUUUGGGAGAGCCAGGAUGAUGCUAAUUUGCACACUGCUUUGCAUUCAUUUGCAUUCUCUCUCCAUAUGCAAAAUCCAACACAGCUAAUUAGUGCAACCUUGUUACAAUGAGACGCAGGCCCAGCCCUCAGUGCCAGAGCAGAUGGAGCCCAGAACAGGGACUGAACCAACCCAAAGCCAGUCACGUCCUGCGUUGGACACACCAGGAGACUUGAAGGGAAGGCACAGACCCUGAAUGAAAAGUAGGGUAACGGAGCACCAUUAUUCUUCAAAUAUUGUUCCUUUGAAGUAGAUAUUGCAGAGACGGAGGGUGAGAGAGAGAAAAUGACGGUGGGGGGAUGGGUGGGGAGGGGAAUGGAGAGAUCAAAGAAGGUGGCCAGAACCUUGCUGCAAGAAGGAUUUUGUUGGAGAAAGAGCACAGAAUUUGGAUCCCAAAGGCCUCGGGUAAAGUCCGGCUUGGACUGUGGCUUUGCCACUUACAAACGUGGGACCUGGCACUUUGUGGGCUUGCAGGGAUUCCAUGGGAAAAAGCGGGUGGACAUGUACUUUGCAAAUGGUAAUGCACAAUAUAUAUGUAAGGGCUCCAAGCCAUGCCUCAUAACCAUGGAGGGCAGCACCAGAGCCAAGUGGGCUCUGCAGAUUCAGCCUCCUCCCAGGGUCCAGAACCUGGAUGUGAUCCACAAUAUGUGGAUAUAUUAUAACAUGUGGAUGAUACAGUGUGUGUGUAUAUGCAUAUGUGUACAUAUGUAUAUCUGUGUAUACACUUACACAGAGACAUACACACACACGCUAGCAUUUAAUGAUCAUCUAAUAGCGACCACAUACUCUGCUGUGAUUGUAUCAGGCAUUUUGUUUAGUGAUUCUCAUGACCAAUCUAAGAUCUGUUUAUUAUUAUUAUGACCCCAUCCUACAAGUAUCACUAAGGCAAAGAAUGCUUGCCAAGUGCACCAGGGCGCUCUUGCCAAAUGAUCGGGAAUUCAUAUUUUAUGCCUCCCUCUCCCUUUUCCAGCUCCUAUGGAGACUAUGGACUUUCUGUUAAUCUGCUUCUUUUUCUCACAUUGCCUAGUUGUGGUAAUUUUGACAUGGCCUUGGGUUUUGUUCUGUGUCAGCUGAGAACUCCUUCCUCUCAAUUGGUCAUUUUGGUUGGGCUCAAAUACUUCAGCUCCGUGUUUCAUUGCUUAGAGUGGUCUGUUCUACAAGGGUAGCUCUGAUCGAGCAAUGUAGAUUGCAUUACUGUUCACAGAUAUUCCCUGGGCUUCACAGGGGAGGGAUUAUAUUGUCUUGCCUCGUGGGUACACAGCAUGGCCACGUGGCUUGCUCUGGCCAAUGGAAGGUGAGUGGAAGUGAGACAUGUCAUUUCAUUUCUAGGAAGAAGGCAGCAUGCGGUUUAUUGUAUUCGUCUUUCCCUUUUACCCUGAUGAUAGCGAUGUUGCAGACAAAGUCUCUUUCAGGAGCUCAGCCAGGUCCGGGAGUUUCAAAGGCAACUAGUGAUGGACAAGUCAUGUGAAUAAGAAAUAAACAUUUGUUGUGAUUGUCAGCCUUCGUGAUUUGUUACAGAAGCACGAACUAGCCUAUUCUGACUAAAACAUUCACUACCAAUUGAAUAUUAUGAGAUUAGCUCUUAGAGGAUGGCCUUUCUCCUAAUUUGCAGAGGCGCAUUAUUUGAGCCCCCUGUGAACUGACUGUAGUUGUUUCUGUGGAUGGCUGGACACUUCUCCCAAUGAUAUUGUCAAUACUCAAAACAUUUUCUACUUCCAUUCAAAAAACUGCCUUACAUUUUAAAAAUACUAAACUCCUGAUAACACUACUACUCCUGCUGACAGCCAAUGCUUUCUAAGAUUUUCUUAUUUAAUGUUGACAAAAGCUAUGUGAGAUAGGUGUUCUUAAUUUUCAUUUUCCAAACAAGAAAAACAGAAGCUCAGAAAUAUUCAGUAAUGCAUUCAAGAUCACACAGCUAAGUAGAGAGUGGAGAUUGAAAUCAGCAUUCCUCUCAGGCACAAACCCUAAUCUCAUUACUUUCUACUCAUACUUUCCCCUUCCAAAAUGGAUAUUAACUAGCUGAGUCACACACCUCAUUCAUCAGAGAUGGCUGCAAAGAUUUUUUCUGCUAUGAAAAGCAAAAUAAUUAUAGUAAAAAUAACAUUAGACUUGAUAUUAGAAGAUGUGGAGUUGGUUCACAGCUGUUUCUUGUAAGUCCAGUGACCUUGAGCUAGAUGAUUUUCCUCUCUGGACCCUGGUAUUUUCCUCUGUAAAAUAAAGAACUUUGCCUCAGAAAACUUAGUGCAUGGAUCUGGCCAGCAGGGUCCUUCUGUCUCCUAAAAACGUAUGCAAAACAUUGGGUGUGAAUGCAUUUUUCUGGGCAAAAGAUAUAUACUAUUCACCGGAUCUUAGAAGGGGCUUGUUAUUUACUUGCAAAAGAUGAAGAACUCUAAUUCUCUGAUUUGUGGAAUUGAUUUAUCACUUUUCCCAGAAUUGGGUGUGCAGGCAAAAAGAAUUUAGUCUGCAAAAAUGGCAGUUAAAUUUUGUAGGGUGAGUGUCAGAUUCAUCAAAGAAUAACUGGAAGGCAAGCUGUAUCAUUUCGUUUAAAAAAUCAUUAACAAAUGUUUCUGCCUCACAUUCCUGUGGUUCCUUAUUGCUUACUCUGCAUAGAAGCUGUUCAUUCAUCUCCUCAGCCAGGGACUGUGUCAUCAGUUGUGGCUAUUGGUCAUUUCCUGUCUCAUUCAGCAAAUAAUCAUAUUAUUCUGGCUGGGAUGAGAAUGAAUCCUGAGCUGUGAACUUAGUCUCACAAUAACUUGCGGAUGUAUUUCUUUGCAUGUCGGGGGAAAGGAAAACAGAGCAGGAAAAUAGUAUUCAUUAAGCCCCUAUGCUAUCCCAAGCUCUUCCAUGGCAUUUCAUCCAUUUAUUUAGUCACAUAGGUCUAUUUUCAACCAAAAUGUUGGGGCAACUAUCAUGCAUUGGCCACUGUUUUAGGUGCUGGGUAACAACACUCAGACAAAAAAAUCACAUUCUGUAAGCCUAUAUUCUGGUGGGAGAGAAACAAUGUGCCAGUAAAAUAUAGUAAAAAAUAUAUUAGUAAAAUAUAUAUGCUUCACAUAUGCUGCUUCAGUAUAUGUGAUAUCUUCAUAUUACAGAAUCAGAGACCGGAAAUGUGAUUUCUUAUUGUUACAUCUAUAUGUAUGUCUAUGACUUUAUCUAUCUAAUCGAAUCAGUUAUUGACCUCUUUAUUACCGUAUUGUCUCUCAAUGUCUCUAAUAAUCCUGCAGUUUAUUCUGUCUGACACUAAUAUAGCCACUCAAACUUUCUUACGGUUAUUAAUUGCAUGCUAUCUUUUUUAUUCUUUUACCUUUAAUCUGCUUGGGUCUUAUUUUUAAUGUAUGUCCCUUGUUGGCAGGAUAUAGUUGGUUCUUAAUUUUUUAUUCAGUUUGAGACUCUUUGUUUUUCUGUUUUAUAUAUUUUAUAUUUUAUAUAUAUAUUUAUAUUUAUUUAUUUUUGAGACAGACUCUCACUCUGUUGCCCAGGCUGCUGUGCAGUGACAUGAUCUUGGCUCACUGGAACCUCUGUCUCCUGGUCUUAAGCGAUUCUUGUUGACUCUCUCUUUUUAUUUAAGAUUGUUAUAAUGAUUGGUAAGUUUGUAUUAAGGUCAUCUAUUUUUAUCUUUAUUAUUUUUCUCAUUUGUUUUUUAUUUUUUCCCUCUUUUCCUGUCGUCACGUUUGUCAAGUGUUUUUAAAAUAUUUUAUUUUAAUUCCUUGUUUUCUAUAUACCUGUCUCUGAAUUUUUUGUAUGUGAUUUCUCUAUGGAUCUUUGAGUUAAUAUUAAGCUAAUUCUGAUGUAUCUGAAAAUAUCUGUAUUCCACCUUCAUUUUUGAAGCAAAAUAAUUAGAAACACUAUUGAUUGAUAGCUCAUUUUGUUUUAACUGCACUUUGAAUAUACUGUUUCAAUAUCUUCUGAUUUACAUAGUUUCUGAUGUGAUGUCUGCCAUAGAUUUUAUUGUUAGUUUCCCAUUGGAAUGUAUUAUUUAUUCUGGCUCUUUCCGAGGUUUUAGCUUUAUAUUUGGCUUCUAGCCCCAAAUUGUCAUAGUUUUACUAUGAUGUGUUCGGGAGUAUAUGUCUUUGUGCUUAUUAUGCUAUGGGAUUGUUAAGCUUUGGGCACCUUUAAAUUAAUGGUUUAUACUCACUUUGGGAAACUUUGGACCAUUAUGUAUUCAAAGACCAUUUCUCUUCCCUUCUACCACUUUUUCUUGGAUUCUAAUUAUACCCAUGUUGGAUCAUGCUUGAUAUUGUCUCAAGGUCUUUGAGCUUCUGUUUAAUUUCUUUAAAUAUUUUAAAUUUCUGUUAUUUGAAUUGAAUCAUUUAUAUUGCUCUAUCUUCAUAUUCACUGAUUGUUCUCUUCUGAUAUCUCUAAAAAUUUAACUUAUUUUUCCUUCAAAGCUAUAUUUUCAGUUUAAUAGCUUCUAACUCCCCAUUUGAAUUUCUUAUUAGAUAAUUCAUUCAUGUCACAUUUUGAAACACUUUUCUGCAAACUGCAGUAUCUUUGCCCAUGCCAUGUUAUUUUCUAUUGCCUUUUAUCCUGAGUAUGGGCCACUCUUUUCUGUUUCUUUGCAUGUGUAGUAAUUUUUGGUUGUAAAGUAGACAUUGUAGAUAACACAUCAUAGUGACUCUGGAUUAUGUUGGGUGUGUUUGAGAAUGGUUGCAUUUUUGUUACAGUAAGUAAUUAAUAGGAUUCAGAGCUCAAAGGUUGUCUGUCUUUGUGUGUAGCACCUGAUAGCCUCACUCUUUUCUUAUGGCUUCCACUGCCAGUUUUUCAGCCUGACUCUCUGGGGGUCUCCUAGGUGCCUGCAAAACUUGGUUAUUUGCCAAGAAUUUGGGCAGUAUGAGGUUCACCCUCUCAGUUUUCUUUUAUUUUAGGGAUUUCCUCUGAUUUCUAGUUUGUCUACCCACCUCAGGUUUUCUAUCCUGACGUUUCAGGCCUAUAAGACUUCAAUUUUCUGCCACGUAAGCUGUGCAAAAUAAGAAAGAUAUUUAAUUAAAAAAUAUAUAAAACACAGAUAUUACUUUUUGUAGUUCUGUCUUUAAAGAGUAAAUGUCCACCAGUCUACUUACUUAUGCCUUUUCCUGGUCCCUUUGGGCCUCUCCUGUGCUUGCACAUUUUAGCUGUCAGCUGAAGAUUUUGGCAGAAUGUAUACUUGGUGUUUAUAUCUCACUACUUCUGUGAUUCUCUCAUUGCCAGGAAUCAUCCUUUACAAUGUUACCUCCUCUUCUGUCCCUAUAUUCUGACCUCUGGCACCUUAGGCCACUAAGAUUAUGGGUUUUCAGUUGUAGCCACGGGGAUCACAGAGCACCCUCAAGUGAGAAAGUUGCACAUUACCAAUCCUUCUCAUGGCUGUGGUUUUUAGGAUUAAAUUCUCCUCUGGCUACUAGCUGGUUUUGGAUGCUUUCCAGUGUCUUUAAAUUGUUUAAACUUUUUAAAAUCCAGUUUUUAUAAUAGUCAUCUGCAGGAGGAAUUAUGUAAUCACUCUACUCCUAUGCCAUUGCUCCUAAGUAGAUUUGACCCUGUGAAAAUACUACAGUUAAGAAAUGCAGGGUGGGUGAAAGGUUCUUCUUCAGCCAUCUUAAGCUGAGUCCAUUUCUUUGGCAUUUGGUCUCCUUUAUUCCUCUUUAUCUCCUGUGAAAUUCCUAGCAGCUUGGUCUCCUUUUAUUCCUCUUUAUCUCCUGUGAAAUUCCUAGCAGCUGUGUCUUCAAGUAAAAUGUAAGCUCUUGAGGCUAGCUAUUUAUGAAAUAGAGCUGGAUAUGCUGAAAACCUUCAGUAAAUUAUACAGCCUCAUCAAUAACAAUAACUAUGUUGAAAAUAAAAGCAAUUGCUCCUCUUAAUGCAUUCCUACUAGAGGAAUGAACACUUACUCUGGAUUUCAUGCUGUAUUUGCUUUGCUCUACUCUGAUUAAAUAGAGAUGUAGGAUUGAAUGUAAUGGCAGACACCUGGAUGCUUUCUUCUGAACACCCACGGUUUAUUCAACUUUGUCACUCACUUCUUUUGAAUCCUGAAAUUCCUGGAAUAUAUUGGUUUUGCCUGCCCUGCAGCUAUCCUCCCUUUUGGUCCAAUGCCUUAACUUCUCCUUGAGAAACCAUCCCUGACUCAUCCAGGUGAGUGGGACCAAGUGCAAUGGGUCUAUGUCCAGGCUAUUUAGGGUGUUCCAUCCCCUAGCUGGGGAUUGAAGAUGUAAUUGAAAAUGUAAUAUGAUCCAGGUUGGUCCACUGAAACUUAUUCCUGAGAAUUUUUUUUUUUUAACUUUGGAGAGAAAGAGAUUCUCCUUCACUUAAGAUUGCUAAGAAGAUAGAGAAUGAAACUUUAUUGACUUAUCAUUAUUAAUAACUUUAAAGAUAAAUGAAAGCAAUGUGGAUUUGGCAUUUGUUCUUUUAGUCCUGUUUCCAUAGAAAUGGAAGCCACCUUGACAUCUCUUGGAAAGAGUCUGCCUCACUGAAAUCAAAACAAGAAAAAUUAGACUUAAAAGAUGGCAUUCGUUUGUGUUCCUGGAAGCAGCCAUCUCUGAAACUUUUAUACCUUAAGUUUAUAUCUAAAUUUUUGAGCAACCUAAGCUCAUACAUUUUUUUUAUGCUAAAGCCAGUAUGAGUUAGUUAGAUUUCUAUCACUUGCAACUCAAGAAACUCUAACUAAUAAGUAAUAAUCGAAUCACACAAGGCCCUACAUAAUUGUAGUGUGUUGAAUAAUAUCUCCCCAAAGUUCAUGUCCAUGUGGAACUUCAGAAUGUAACCUUUUUGAAAUAGGGUCUUAGCAGACAUUGAAAAUUGAGACACUAUCAUACUGGAUUAAUGUGGGCCCUAAAUCUAAUGGCUGUUGUGGUUGUAAGAAGACAGAAUACUCAGAGACACAAAGAAGGUGAUGCAAAGAUGAAACCAGAGGUUGGAGUGAUGCAUGUACAAAACAAGGGGUGUGAAGGAUUCCCAGGAGCCACCAGAGGUUGAAAAAGUCAAGGAGGGAUUCUCUCCUGUAGUGUUGAAGGACAGCAUGGCUCCACCCACACUUUGAUUUUAGUAUCCUAGACUUCAGAGUCAGAUAGAAUAAAUUGCUAUUGUUGUAGCCACUCACUUUGCAGUAGCUUGUUACGAUAACCCCAGGUGACUAGUACGAUAAUUUCCACUUAUCUUUCCAGCCUCAUCAUAGAGACAACGGAGAGCACAGUGGGUAAUGGUACAGACCCUGGAAUUGAAGUCUCUGAAUUCACAUUUGGCUGCUUCACUUAAAUCUCUGCAGUAGUCCAGGUUUUCCAGAGAAGCAGAAUUUAUAGGAAAUAGAUAAAAAGAGAUUCAUUCUAAGGAUUUGGUUUGCAUGGGUGUUCAGGCUGAGAAAUUUCAAGAUCCGAAGUCAGCAAGACCCAGGAAAGCUGAUAGUACAGUUCUGGUCCAGAUACAAAGGCCCAAGGAGAAGAUCAACAUCCCGGGUCAGCAGCAGUGAGGCAGAUAAUGAAUUCUCUCUUGUACAGUCUCAUUCUCUUCAGCUCUUCAACGAAUGGAAUGGGGCUCACCCACAUUGGAGCAGAUGGUCUGCUUUACUCAGUCUACCAUUUCAUGAUAAUCUCAUCUAGAAACAUCCUGAAGACACAACCAGAAUAAUGUUUAAUCAAACAUCUAGGCACCCCAAGUCCUGAUCAAAUUGAGACAUGAAAUUAUCACAUUCUGGGUCUCAGUUAUCUAACGGCGCUAAUAAGAGUGAUAGCUCACUUCUCAAUGAGGUUGUCAUGAGAUUAAAAUUGGUUUAUAUUUGAAAGCACUUGAAACAGAUUUUGGCACACAUGGAACACUGAGUCAAUAGCUGUUGUUGUUAUGACUACCAUCAUCACUCUCUCCUGCCGUUCAACACAAACGUUGCCUACUCCAACUACAGUAAGCUGUUUGUAGUUACUCAAACAGAAAUUAGACCAAGGAACUUGAGAGAACUUCUUGCUCAGGAUCAGCCAGCUCCCGAGUGUCAUAUUAUUUCUUUUUAACUUACCUUUUAUUUUUAAAUUAAAAAAAAAUAUUUUCAACUUUGGAUGACACAUAAUUAUUUAUAUUUAUGUUUCAGUACAUGUAUAAAAUGUAGGAUGAUUGAAUUAGGGUAAUUAGCAUAUCCAUCAUCAAAAAUUUUUAUGAUUUAUUUGUGGUGAGUACAUUCAAUAUCCUCCCUUCUAGCAAUUUUGAAAUAGACAACAUAUCAGCUAUAGUCACCCAACUGUGUAUUGGAACACUAGAAACUAUUCCUGCCAUCUGUCUAACUGUACCUUCCUACCCAUUGACCAACGUCUCCCUAUUCUUCCAUUCUCCUCCCCAUCCAUGUGUCAGAUUAAGACCUGCCCAACUUUUCCUCCCUACAGUAACAGACUCUUCUUCUUGUCUUUAAAAUCAGGAAAUAGUUUUGUUUUUUUUUUCUUCACAGGGAAGGGAACUUUUAAAAGCUCAUUACUUCUAUUUGUCAUAUUUGCGAUCAGUAAGACAUCCCCUAAAAGCAAUUUUAUAAGCUCAGAAAGACAGACUACAAAGGAGGCCCCAUAAACCUUUACAGAUAUUUCUGAUAAAAGCAAGUAGGAAACAUAUUCUUCAAUGUUCUACAAACUUUGCCAUCGAAGACUUUUAUUGAUCUUGUGUUGGUCUCUGUCAGCACAGGUAUCCCUUGGGACAAUAUAUCCUGAUUUUCCAUCCCAGCAUAGGCUGGAAUGAAGAAACAAUUUUUUGACAUGUCCAGUCAAGACAUUUUUUUUGUGUUGAGAACAUAACACUGUCACAACCCUAGAGAGGUAAUACCAGCAUAUUCAUAAGAUAUACGUAGGUUUAAAAAAGUCUCCCAUUCCCCUUAUUGUGCGGUACUUUUUGAGAUUCCCUGACCCAUUUUCUGCCUGUACCUUUCCUCUGUGUCCCUAUUUUUUUUUUUUUUCCUUUUCCUUUUGAGAUGGAGUCUUCUCACUCCGUUGCCCAGGCUGCAGUGCAGUGGCAUGAUCUAAGCUCUUGCAACCUCCACCUCCAGGGUUUGAGCGAUUCUCCUGCCUCAGCCUCUAGAGUAGCUGGGAUGUGUGCCACCAUGUCUAGCUAAUUUUUGUAUUUUUAGUCGAGAUGGGGUUUCACCAUGUUGGCCAGGCUGGUCUCAAACUCCUGACCUCAGGUGAUCAGCCCACCUUGGUCUCCCAAAGUGCUGGGAUUCCAGGCAUGAGCCACCAUGCCCAACCCCCUAUUUCUUUUCACCCAUUUCCAUAGCUGUCUUUCUGCCUCUUUGACUUACGCAUUUCUCUCAUCUGCAUUUCUCCGUUUCUGUCUCAGGUCUCACAACACAUCUUCCACUGUUUGUCGUGGGAAAAUAAUGUUUCUUUCAAGUCUAAAGGUAAUUGCCAAACCCAUUAGCUUUUCUUGUCUCCUAAAUUGUGAUAAGUGCAUCAACCUUUUAUUUUUCCUCCCACUGUAGAGGGGCCAUCCUGUUACAUCAAGUUUUAUUGUGUAAAAUAAAGUUUUAAUUCUGAGCAGGGUCAGUAAACUCUUUCUGUAAAGAUCAGAUAGUAAUUACUUUUUGGCUUUGUUGGUCACACAUAGGUCUCUGUUGCAAUUACUGAGCUUUGCCACUGCAGUGAGCAAAGUAUCACCAUAGGCAACAUGCAAACAUACACUGUGUCUGUGUUUCCGAUAAACUUUAUUUAUAAAGAUAGUUUACCAGUGUCUGUUCUAGAACAUUCCUUGUGAGAGAUGAGGUGACUCUAUGCAUUUCUGAUUUUCUUCCUUGGUUUUGUCCUUUUGGUGUUGUUGACCAACAUUGUACAGUUAAGAGUGUGUAGCUGGAUUUGAACCAGGUCUGCCUGAAUCCCAGCUCAUGCUCAUUCCUCCCUCGCUAACUUCUUCUCCAAGGAUACAAGUGUUUGCUGAGGCUGAGUGGAGUCAUUUUUCCUUUCCAACAAUCUUUAAUGGAAAUGGGCAAAGAAAAGCUUAGACCAUUUAAUAAGGAGUUGUUUCCUUAGCUUGGCAUCUAAGUUCCACUAAAGUAUGGUUCCAACCUCUUUUUUCAAGCUUCUGGUCCACUGGGCUUUUACCUAGAUAUUCCGCUGUGUCUGUCCCCUUUUGCCCACUCACUUUCCUCUAGGCAGCUGAAGUGCAUUUUCACUGCUGCUCUGAGGGCUGCAUGGCCCCCUGCCAGGAACACCUCCCCAAGUCCCCAUAUCUGUCUUUCUCAACUUUCAAGACAAGUUGAAUUCCACUUAGGGAAUCUGGGUUAGAUACUCUCCUGGGUAUUCUUGUACAGCACUCGCCUACCUGAAACUCUCCAACACCUUUCCAUCAUAGCACAGCUUGCAAAGUCCUCUGUGCUCUGUCCAUUGGUGGCCAUGGCCUCCCCCGCCACCAGAGCCCCUCACCUCCACUUACCCAGCUCUACAUGUACCUGGCUUUGUGGCUGUAUGUGAAGGGCGCUCUCACCUCACUGAGUGCUUAGAAUGCUCUUCUUUUUGUCCUGAUGGCUGUGUAACUCACUUCCUUCCACCAUUCAGGUCUCCAUUUAAAUUUAACCCCCUUCAGUAUUCCUUCCCUGGCUACUCGAUCUAACACAGCAUACCCCAAAGCUGUCAUGGGGCCUUGUUUCAAUUUUCAUACUGCCCUGCAUGCAAAACCUGACGAUCUAGUAUAUGUUCAUUUGUUUAUUGCCUUCUUCCCAACUAAAUGGAAAGCCCCACAAAAAGAGGGCAUUUCAUGCUUUAUUCACAUCAUUCGACUGCUUAAUCAACAUUUGUUGACUGCAUGAGGCCACCAGCAGAAUAAAAUUAUGGGAAGAACGUAAGUAAGAGACAGAGCAAUUCAGACAUCAGAUAAGUAGUUGGACCAAAUCCCUUUACAACCCUUCUGAUUGUAAGGAUUCAUGAUUUGAGGUGACACUAUCUCUCUCUGAAAAUCAGAUCAUCCCCUUGACUUCGGUAUCUCUGGUGAUGGGUCCACUGUCCUUUCAGUCAUCUGAAGAUUUAAAACCCACCAUCUGUCAGAGGAGGUUGUCAGGCCCCUUCUCCAUCCUUCAGCCUGGCUUCCUCUGCCUGUUGGCUUCAUGCCGCCUGCUUGGCUUUCUACGGGGUAGAGAAGAUGGCUGUACUUAUUUCCAAUUUGUUUCCUCCUAGGUUAGCAAUGUCAGCUGAAAAGACUUCUCUUUCCCAAUAUCUGUGUAUUGAUCCAGAAAAACAUUCUGAGUAACUCUUGGUGGGGAACCUGCCCACCACUGGACUGGUCAUUAUUGCAGUGAUGGGUUUUAUGAUGGACCUGCUUGCCUCCACUCCCGAGACUGAGGGUCAGAGUGAGGCUACCCUGACUAAAGACUGAUCAGACCCAUUUGGAAUGGAAAAGAGGGUAGUCCCUUCAUGGAAGUAGAAAGACUGGAAAGACAAUAGCAGCACAUGUCUUCUGUAUAGCUGCCUAUAAACGUUCUUAAGAUAUACUAUCGAUUGUGUUAUUUCCUUGCUGAAAGAAGCAAAAAGGGCCAGUGCCCCUGUGUGACAGUCGUGGCCCGGGCCAUGAUGCUCCAGCACGGCGGGCAUAGGAGGUUUCCGGAAGAGCUGGUGAGCUUGCUGAAUACUUGAGGUGAGACUCUUCCUGCUCCUGAGCCUGUCUUUAAGUAGCUGUUGAAUCAAGCUUUUCUGAAACAUGCCACCCAUUUUCUGUCUUUCCUUUUGUUUGCUUCAAAUGCUUUUUCUUUCCAGAAGGAUUUCUUCCUCUGUCUCCAUCUGAACCCACACAGAAGUGCUUUACCAAACACUUCCUGAAAUCUUUUCUAAUUCCCCUCCCUUGAAUAUUCAGUCUUGUUUUUUGGAAGGGGGGGCACAUUUGUAUUCACUCUUCUAGGUUAACAGGUUGAGAGUAAGGACUUUUUUUUUUUCUGAUUUAUUUUCGUAUCCCUUCCUGUUCCUAUAAUGUUCCUGGAAGGCAUGAUUAAUAUUCGUUGGACUGAAUUUAAUUAAACAGUUGAAUAUAUCAGUCUACCUAACAUCUACAGUCUGUAUCAUUCAUUUAGUAUUUACAUUUGCCAACCUCUAUUGUUAAUUACUUCUUUGUGUGUAUUUGUCUAUGCAGGAUUACCAUUAUCUAGCAUGGAGCCUUCACAACAUUAGGUUGCCAAAAUAUAUUUUGUUCAAUGGGAUACAUAUUGAUUGUGUGCCUUUUAUGUGCUGGGCACUAAUGUCAGAGGCCACAGCUACAACAGAGAACAUGGCAGGCUGCUUGCUGCCUUUAUCGAGAUCCUAAUGUGUUCUGAGAGCAAGAUAAUGAAAUGUGCAUUUAUAGGAGAACUGCAUGCUGAGAGCUGAAAUGGGAGAGGGGAGCUGCCAGAUAAUUUGGGUGGGUUGGGGAAACAUUGCUUAAUCUGUAUUUGUGAGAUGAAUGACUAGGGAAGUUAUGAGUGAGAGUGAGAAAUAGCCAUUUUUUUUUCUUGAAGAUGUCCUCUUCUUCAACUUAUACUGAACCGCUCUCAUAGGGCUAAACCCCCUCUUCUACUCUCAUGGGUUUCCACGGUGCUGUCUUUUCUCCUUUCCUACUGCAUUAACACAUUACAUUGAAAUGUACAUUGAGGUGUAAAAUGUAAUUGAGGGGAGGGGGUCUGGUUGCGGGAGAGGCCAUGGUCGCCAGUGAACAGAGCACAGAGGACUUUGCAAGCCAUAGUGUGUAUGAUGGAAAGGCAUUGGAGAGCUUUAGGUAGGCAAGUGCUGUACUAGAAUACCUAGGAAAGUAUCGAACCCAGAUACGUACAUUUCAAAGGAAUGUGCAUUCUUGAACAUUCUAGAUGUACAUUUCAAUGGAAUGUGUUACAUUACAUUGGUAACAUGUGUGUACAUUUAUAGUCUGCUUACACACAGAAAACAGAUUAUAUCAUACUCAACAAGUCUGUCCCUGGAUCUAGCACUAUGCUUGGUACAUAAUGAAUGUUCAAGAAAUGUCUGUUAGGUGAAAAAAAAACAGCUAAACAAGGUGCAUCUGAGUUGGGUUGGGGAAAAUGAGAGGUUUAUCAGAAAGGUGCAUUGAUCGGGGGCACCUUAAGGCCAGGGUAAUAAACUCUAAGUUUAUGAAAUGUGAUUCUUUGUUACAGAAGAAGGGGUAAAGGGGCCUGGGGACAGUGACAAAGACUGAUGUUCUGAUGUUGUUUGAAGCGAGAUAAUUUCAUAGCUUCAAAUAGGAAAGCACAUGACCCUUUGUGCUAAACCAGAGGACAAUAGACCUUGACUCACAACCACAGAGGCGGAGGAGAUGCAGUUAUUAUCUUCUGCCAAGAGGUUACUCAAAAUUAAACCUUCCUCUCAACUCCUAAAAGCCAGGGCCAUGGCCUUGUCUGGGAUUUGUCUUGUUUUGAAGAAGUCUGUUUGGCACAUGGGUUUGUUUUCCUUCUUCAAAAACAAAAAUAGACUCAGUCCUUGAGUAAACUAUUCUUGGUGUGGGGUGGGGGUUUUGAAGUGCAGUCAGAAAAAUGGAUACUAAAUGAACAGAUGCCUUUGGGCACUGUCAGGAGUGCCCAAGGCUGGGGAAGUGGGGAGAAGUAAGAGCUAUCCGUUACCACCAGGAAUGUGAUAAAUGCCAAUCAUCAUUGUUAGCUUUUCACAUUCAUUACAGCAUAACCAUAUGCCAGGCACCAUGCUGAGCACAUGACAUGGACAUUGUCAUUUGUUUCAGAAAACAACCUCCUACUGUAGAGACUACCAGUAACCUCAUUUUGCAGAUAGGUCAUUGAGGCAUGGAAUAAUUUACAGAGCAUGAAUUUAUGCCAAAUAGAAUACUGAGUGGUGCACAGAGCUCAUGUAAUCCUCCCACCAGCUUUAUAAAGUAGGUACCAUGUAAUACUCCUUGAUAAGAGGCUAACUGGUAUAAAGUUUCUGUAAGGUCAGUUAUCCAUGAGAUAACUGAGCCCCUAAGAUGUAACGUCACUUGCUCAGAGUCACACAGUAAAUGGUACUGAAAUUGGAACCUGUGUUGCAUUAGGUGGACCUGGAAGCCCCCCUAACCUUCCACUCCAUGCCACAAAUCUGCCUCCUCUACCAGGUGUGUGUCUAUGGGUAACAAGGAGAGUAACAAGGAGUGACUGGGGACACUAAGAGUGAUCAGGACACCUGAAGUUCAGAGACCUGAACUUGAAAGUAGUAGUGAUUGUGAGUUUUCUGCUUCCUAUGUUCAGGGACUUGAUCUACAUUACGUUGAGUUCUAGCAGCCCUUCUUUAAUAGGGCAGCCAUUAUCCCCAUUUUACAAUGUAGGAAAGUGAGAUUUCAAAUGGCUGAAUCAUUUGCUAAAUGUUACUAAGCUACUCAGUGGCGAAGCUGGGCUUUGAAUACAGGCCCGCCAAGAACCUAAGACAGUGUGGACUCUUCUGGGAGACCUUCUCCCUGGUUCUCAAGUCUAUACACAUGAACUCUACUUUAUCUGCCAAAAUGAAAUACAUCUGAAGAACAAAAUAUAUCUGCGUGUACAGGGCAAAUGCCUCUAGGAAGAUAAAACCAGAUUCAGAAAGGUGAAAUAUUUUAUCAUGGUCAAAACAAUCAGUGACACUAAGCACAUAUAGUCAGGAUUACUAUCUAGAGUGUCACACUUGCAGGCUUCAUGUGAGUGUGGCAAGGGCAGGUACAUAUGACCCCAUGCUCAGAAGAGCCCUAGGCUUGGUUUAAUGUUCUACCGUCCUUAGCUUUUCUCACGAAUUUUAUCUUUGAAUUUGAGAGGUUUUUUUGUUUGUUUGUUUUUGUUUUUGAGACGGAGUCUCAUUCAGUUGCCCAAGCUGGAGUGCAGUGGCAUGAUCUCAGUUCACUGCAACUUCCGCCUCCUGGAUUCAAGCAGUUCUCUGCCUCAGCUUCCCAAGUAGCUGGGAUUACAGGCACCUGCCACCACACCACAAAAAUUUUUGUAUUUUUAGUAGAGACAGGGUUUCACCAUCUUGGCCACGUAGGUCUUGAACUCCUGACCUCAUGAUCCACCCUCCUCGGCCUCCCAAAGUGCUGGGAUUACAGGCAUGAGCCACCGCUCCUGGCCUGAAUUUGAGUUUUAUAAGUAAAGUUGAUGGAGUAAUGCACCAUAUAAGUGAUGAGAGGAGGAAGGCACAAUAUCACAUUUCUUGUUUAUCACAUAUCGUCCUUGCCAUGCCCCAUGAGGACAGAAUUCUGGUUGACUCACAGAGCCUGGAAGUUCAAUGUGGAUUCAAUUCCCUUAUACUUGCACUUAAAACUGGAGUUGUGCCAUAUAAAGAGGAAUGCUAAAAUUUAUGCUGAUGAUUUAAAUAUUUAUGAUGCUUAUAUUUACAUUAAAUAAAAAAUUUAAAGCAGCAUGGCAAGUCAAAAGAGAGACUGGCAGAAAGGAAAUAGUUUUAUAUUUUAUUAAUAGUCCUUUGAAUGAUACUUUCCCCCUGCUUUUCCAACAAGGGGCCCCACGUUUGUAUAAUAUUGUCAGCUCUGCUGUUUUGUGAGAACAGCAACUUGAGGCUCAGAGAGGUCAGUGGCUUGUUUUAGGUCCAGGAGUUCAUAAUCGCCCAAGUGUCCACAGACUGAUUUUGCUGGCCUGCUGGGGAUAGCUGGACAUGGAAGCUCUGAAUAUGUGGCUGGUGAUGUUUCUGUUUCAAGACCCCUUUUUUACAGACUGGUCCAUACACUUCUAUAGACUGGUUCUCCCUAGCGGUAAGGAGAAGAGAGUCAGGAACUUGGAUUCUUCUCAUUUUUCCUACUUCUGUUCCUAUCUGUAGACAAACUUAUCUCUAGACCAACUUGAAGAAUGAUGAAGAAGAACUGGAUGAAAAUACUUAGAAAAUAUGCAUCUGUUAAAAAACCAAGUCACACGGAAGAUAAAUAACAUGCUCAACAUCGCCCAGCCAAGUGGCAGAGGCGUGACUAAAGUGACAGGGGACAACUCCUGAGUCUGUGCUAGGAACAGCCAGUGAAGAUCCUUACAGGAAGAGGAAGAAUUAGAUGAAUUCAUGAUAAAUUAAGAAGUAGAACGGUGGCCAAUUGUCUUUGGGAGAAAGUGGGAUCAAGGACGACUACAGGAUUCUGCCUGAGAUGGGACACACUAGAGUAUUACUUGGGAAUGUAAAUAAAACUAUCAAAUUACUGAA